rnacentral:lncRNA from 1 species
UUUUGAAAAUUCUAAACAACUUUGAAAAUGGAUAAAAAAAUGGAAACCCAUAAAGACAAUGACAGGAAAAGAGAAAAUGAGGAAAGAGAGAAUAAGAACCAUCUAGAAGAUUCUAAAACUGGAUCCAUGUAGGCCACAUGAUGACUCGAGCCAGCCCGUGUACCCUCGUUGACUCGCUUUGCCUCUGCGAUCGGUCGGCAAUUUGCCGCAAGGAGCAGAAAAUAGGGAUUGCCAUCCCAGUUUUUUUUUUGUUUGAGGUGGUUUGCCAUCCCAGAUGACUCCAUGAACACGCGCCUGCCAGGUCAUGGCUAUAGCUCGCUUGUAGCCAGUUGGAAGGACGGAUUGCCUACAGCGCUUCUGUAUAUGGGCUAGGCAGCCCAUUGCUCGAGGGAGUCCGUGACUCUGCUCCCUGCCACGCGCAAAUCACAUGUACAUGCCUAAAAAAAUGUACGUGUUAUUUUUCCUCCCUUUGAUUUUUUUAUUUUUUAUAUUAUGAAAAAUUAUAAAUACAAAUAUUCCCAAAAAUUUAAUUAUGUCCAUUGUGAAUGUGAAAAAACAGUGGUUUUUUUGCAACCGUUACUGUAAAGAAAUAUUCACAACAUUAAAAAAGUGUUCAUGACAUUUAAAAUAUCUUCAAGCGUUUCAAAAACUGUAUGUGACAUUUAAAAAAAAUUAAAAGAUGUUACAUUGUAAAAAUGAUUGUGUAAUUCAAAUUGUUUUUUGCGUAAUUGCAAAAUACUAUGUUUCAUAUGUAUAUGAAGAACUUACAAAACUUAUGCAAAAAUAGACAUCAAAGCCUGUAUUUGAAAGAAAAUGGUAAUCAUGUAUUUGAAAAAAAGUUGUAUAUGUAUUUGAACUAACAUACUACGUACCCGAUAGAUGAUUAGGCAAUGAAUGGCAAAGAAAAGCGAGAAAAAUAAUGUGUUCACAUUUUUUUCGUGAUUGUUUCAGUAGACUAAUAAUCUCUGAAACUAUCUAAAUUUUUUCCUUACCAUGCCAAUAAUCAUCUACUCCCUCCGUUCGGAAUUACUUGUCUUGAAAAUGGAUGUAUCUAGAACUAAAAUACAUCUAGAUACAUCCAUUUCUGCGACAAGUAAUUCCGAACGGAGGGAGUAGUGUGCUUCAAGUUGGGUUUCUACCUAAACACUAUAGUGGCUAAUCUAAGUAAUGACAUGUAUAGAGAUCAAAAGUAGUGCAAAUAGAGAAACAAACUUCUACAUGUAAACAAUGAUCACUCUUAAAGAGUUGUUGCUUUAGAACAUGUAUAUACCAUUGUUCUUUGCUUCAGCAUCACACAUGACCAAAGACAACCAAUGCCAUGGGGUAACAGCACCAAGGCUUACACAGACCAUGUACAGCUACUGCACACACACAGAGACACAACCUUUACGUCGCCGGAUCAAAGAAGUGACCAGAGACAACACCAGUGCAGCAGUAGCAGUCAGCAGAGCAAGUCAUUGUUCCCUGUCUGACUUGGCACCAUCUCGCUUCGCUUGUACCCACAUGUGUCCACCAGUUCAACAAACAUCCUAGUACUGCAGUACUACAAAAUUUGAAAACGACAACUUUUUGCAAUAUGAAGUGUUUGACUGUCUUCACUAUUAUCAGCAUACAUGUUACUCAGAAUUUAGUUUACUAUAAAUGCUAGGCCAAACCAAAGUCCAAAAUCACCUACAGGCUACAGGAUACUUGAGCUCGUGACUGUUGAGAACCUCCUCACUGCAUGAAACGUUCCAAGUCAACAACAGGAAACAAAAUUUGCACCGCAGGCAACAGCUAGCUACUCCCUCCAUUCCUAAAUAUAAGUCUUUGUAGAGAUUCCAUUAUGGACCACAUACGGAUGUAUAUAGAUGCUUUUAGAGUGUAGAUUCACUCAUUUUGCUCCGUAUGUAGUCCAUAAUGAAAUCUCUACAAAGACUUAUAUGAGGAACAGAGGGAGUAGUUGAUAAAAAAAAAAGAACAGUAAUGCAUAAGAGCAAGUUACAGCCACGAGAAGAUUUUUGCUCUGUGUAACACUAGGCAAAUUGAAGAUCAGGUCCUGAAAUAAGUAAUCAACGGAUCCUGAUACAAGAUACGUAUUAGAGAGUUGUUGGCUGCAACAAGUAAAUGAACAAAUCCUGGAACAAGUAAUCGUACAACUGAAAAGCGUUAUCAAGAUUAAGCAUUUGGUUUGAAUGAUUCUUUGAACUCGGAGAUGACAAACAAAUACAGUUACAUGAAAGGCAUUGUUUAAACUCGGAGAUGACAAAUAAUGCAUACCUGAACCUCCUUAAGAAAAUCGGAAAGCAUGCGUCAAUCACCUCAUUUAAAAUUGUAAGAUCUUGCAUUGACAUAAAAGAGAAGAAACAUGGCUGAAGAUGCACAUACAAAUACUCUUUCUUAAAAUGCUAACUGUAAAUUGUUGAACUACUGCCAGUAAAAAAUUAUGCAAAAGGUUCAAGUAGUCCAGGCAUAUAUUCUGAAUUUAGACUUUCACCAUAGGCACUGGCUUCUCAAUAAGCAGGUGCCUCACUUUUCUGUACAUGUCCAGAGCAUCAGAUAUUGUAAUCCCACACAAAUAGUAUGUGCAACAGAAUUGAUGAUUCAGGCCAAAACAGUAUUAGAGAUGUCAGUUUGUCACACAAAUAGCUUACCUUAGAAACGGUGAAACACCAAAGUCGACACCUAUACAGAUAACACCGUUCAAUUCCUAUCAAAGAACGUCUGCUCAGAAGCUUGUAUCAUACAUUCCUAGUUAUUUGUUUUCUUCUCUUUCUUGUCAUGCUAACAAAAUAGAUAUGCCUGACAGUAAUUAGAGACAAUAUGUCAGUGCAUUCUUAAAGAUUAACAAUAGAGUACUCAAGAGUGUCCAGCGGUACCAUGCAGCCAUCUAUCCGAGUAGUUCAUACUGGUCGAAAGACAAAUGUUCACACUCGCUGCCGUUGGUGGCCUGACUGCAUGACCAUGAGAACAUCCGUGUCUCUGAGCAAGCGAAGCGAGAUGGUCAGACAAAUGUUCUGUUCACACAGGCUUAGUGCACAGCCAUGAGAAUAUGCGAUCAUAUGAGACAUGCCGGCGACGUCAGGUCUCCAAAUGUUAUGACCGUUGCUCCACGGAAACAGAAACAAUAGCUGAGGGGCAGUGCAACGCUUAUCAUCUUCAGGACAGUUACACUUACUGAUAUAAUUCUUAGUUAUGAUCACUUAUUCCAAGUUCUCAAGGGACAAUUCCUUUUUGGUCUUUUGCUGCAAAUCAAAUCAAAUCACUUGUUUGACAUGCCUGCAGCCGCUGCUGCAUUUUUGUACAACGCUAUGCUUGGGAGCAACACAGAUUUGGAGGUAAGUAGCCUUUCUUUCCCUUAAUCUGGUACAUUUGAAUGCCUAACAGUAAUAUAUCAGACAAACCCAGUGCUUUGAGGUGCUCAAAGUAUCCGCAAGAUAUAUAGUGAAUUGAAAACAUUCAUUGCCUCAUAAUCCAAGUUACUGUCGAAACAACUCUAGUCAAAAAGAAGAAGAAACACCCACUGCUAUUGCUGUCAGGUGUCAGUUUCUAUGGGGACGCACGCUCGCAACGAGGCUCGGAACAGCAAAGGCGGUCCUGUAUCGUCAAGCAUUGUGCAUAACAUCAGGAAGGAGGCUCAUAUUGAUAUGAUCCAACAGCGGUCUUAUUUUCCCGGUGUCUAUCUCUAGGUGUGAGGCAUCAUUGUCAGUGCCAAGAUGGUUAAAAGUAAUGUUGACGCUGCAGUGUAUAAUUGAUGAUCAAAUGAUGGGCGUGGGGGUGGUGAUGUCCUGGCUCGCUUUGACCACACUCUUCAAGGCGUCACCAUCCCAGAACUGGCUCAAGCAAUAGCGGUUUGACCAGGCCCGGACCAAUUGAUUUGCUCUCAGGCACAAAACUGACUGACAGAAAUGUACUCCUAUAACCAAACACUGACUGACAUAGUAAACUUAAUGCAGCUAAAAAGAAAUCUGCAAGUAAUCCAAUCUAACAACAGAAAUCUGCAACUACUCCAAUCUUAAGAACAAGAGCCAGAUGGACCUAACACAUUAAGCUUCAACAAUGAAGCUCAAAUCAUAAAGCAUCAACUAACCAAGGAUGAAAAUACCAAGCGAAACUUGUCCUCUCCUCCUAGGCGGAUGUAACAUGUCCUCUCCCGUACCUCCAAUGCAAUGAAGCGCAAAGGUCCUUUGCGUUUUCUCGAAAAAAAACUUGUCCUCUCCUCGAAGAUCUCUACCUUUGACAUCCCUGAUGAAGGUUGUCAUGUUCAUCAUGUGAGCCACCCUUGCCUACGAAUCAUCAAUGGACGCUUCGGCAGAGGCCUGAUGUGCACACAGCACAACUUCCUCCAUGAUGGCAGCGAGCAGGGCAUCCUUCGAGACUCUCCUUGCCGAGGCAUGUAGCCACCAACACCUGCACCUAGCUACAUCUCCUCUCAUCACUCCAUCUCCUAUGUGCCUUCCUCCUUCCUCUGCACCACAUGAACAUCCAUCAUCCGACCGCAUCGAAUCAUGGGUCCAAUUCCAAUUGGUACUCUCCAGCUUCCUGUUCGAGGUCGGUGACAGAAGAUGACCCUGGACUCCUCACCACCUGCCAUCUUCCUCCCAGGCAGCCACACGCAGCAGCUAGCCUUCCUCCUAAAACAUCCACACGCAAUAGCAAAUUUUCCUUUCUCCCCCGGUAAACAAAUGCACGCAGCAGCAACAACUCCUAGAAGCAACACACCUUCAGGACCACAACACCUACCAGACAAUUUGGUCCCGAUCUAGAUUCCUAGGUAGCUUCUAGCACCUCUCCUUUCUCCAAUCAGCAGCAGCAUAGCACUGCACUCCAUCACCAGUUGCAACAGCAAGCACCAAGCAAAAACCCCUCUUCUUCUUCCUCCUCUUCUUCAACCAGCAACACAACAGCAGAUCCAGCAUACAACAGAUCACCCUCAAGUGCAAGCAGCAACAGCCUCCAAUUCAAACAGCAGCAGCAACAACUCGCCUCCUUCCUCUUCCUCGGUCAUGCACACAAAAAAUAUAAUCAUCAUGCUCACCUAUUAGACUUAAAAUAUCAUAAUCCACCAUGAAGUUUGAUUCAAAAUCAUAAUCACCUAACAAAAUCCAAAUUGUUCCAGCUAAUUAAAGAUCUUUUUAUCCACCACCGUAAUAAUCAUCAUGCUCACCUACUAGACCUAAAAUCUCAUAAUCCACCGAACAUCAUUGACUAUCUUCUCAACAUCACAACCUAGCUAAAUCCAUUUAAAAUCUCAUAAUCCACUAUGAAAUUUUGUUAAAGAUCACAAUCACCUAGCUAAAUCCAAAUUGUUCAAAAUUAAUCGAAGAUUUUUUUAUCCACCAAUAUAAUAAUCACUAUGCUCACCAAUUAGACCUAAAAUCUCAUAAUCCACCGAACAUCUUUGACUAUCUUUUAAAGAACACAAUCACCUAACUAACUCCACCAAAAAUCUCAUAAUCCAUCGUGAAAUUUAGUUCAAGAUCAUAUUCACCUAACUAACAAAUUAUUAUAAUAUUAAUUAAAUAUCUGCAUAUCCACCAAUCUAAUAAUCAUCGCAGUCACCGACAAGACCUAAAAUCUCAUAAUGCAUCGAAAAUCUUUGACUAUCUCCUCAAGAUCACAAUCACCAAAGUAUAUUCAACCUAAACCGCCUAACUAACAAAUUAUUGUAAGGUUAAUUAAAUAUCUAUUUAUCCACCAAUCUAAUAAUCACCACGGUCGCUUACUAGACCUAAAAUCUUAUAAUCCACCAAAAAUCUUUGACCAUCUCCUCAAGAUCACAAUCACCAAUGUAUAUUCAACCAAAAUCUCAAAAUUCACCAUGAAAUUUGAUUCAAGAUCACAAUCACUUAACUAACUCAAAUUGUUCCAAGAUUAAAUAAAAACAUGUUUGUCCACUAACAUAAUAAUUACAUGCUCAUCUACUAAACGUUAAAUCUCAUAACUACUUUGACUAUCUCCUCAAUAUCACAAUCACCAAACUAAAUCCACAUAAAAUCAUUAUCAGGUGUUGCUUAUGAUCCUCCCCCGAGGGUGAAUAAACCAAGAGGUCAUCAAUGAUGACAACGACAAAGUUAUCCAAGAACUCACAAACAUGUUAUUCAUGAUGUUCAUCAAAUCGCUAGGUGGGGUAAGGAUUGUGUCAAGGGCUUCAUAUCCAACUCUGUUGUCGUGGCUCGACCAAGUCAUGGCUUGGUGAGACUUAAGGUUGAUAGGGUUUGGGUGUAAGGGUGAAAGUUCACCAUAACACAAUUAAACACCACUUCUCCGAAUCCAAUUGUUAUGAGGCUCGCAUGGCCCAACUCCCACAAAGGUUAUCACAUACCAUCAAAAUCGCCAUCUCUUCUAAUUAAUCCAAACCAUCCUCACAUGAUGAUCUUGUACUCAUAACAUUCUUGAGGAGGGACAACAAAAUCACCUAGGUCAAACAACUCACAUCCACAUGUAUCAUAUCCAUGAUUAUAUCCAUAUGGGCACAUGCAAGCUACUAAGCUUAGAUCAAAACAUCAGAAAUCUGAGUGCCCAAGUUAUCUCCAUCCUAUAAUCCAAGUAGCUAUAUCAUUUAACCUAAAGAAAACACACGCUAUGCUACUCCAAGAUCCCUGCUUCCUUACUACUAAUCCAAUCCCAGAUGCUCCAAUAAUCCACCAAUUUUCAUAAUCAUGAUUGGUGUUGCUAACUCUCAUUCUGACCUAAAGGAAACACAAGUUGUGUCACUCCAAGAUCCUUGUUUCCUUAUACUACUAAUCCAAUCCCAGUUGCUCUAAUAAUCCACCAAAUUUCAUAAUCAUGAUUGAUGUUGCUAACUAUCAUUAAUCUAUAUAAAUCCGAUAUAUCCAAGGUUGAUCAAACUAUACCCUAAAGUUCUUCAACUUCAAUCUCCAAUGGCAUGAAUUUAACACAAAGCAAUCCACCAACAUCAUGACCAUGAUUUAAAUAAACUCCGAUUUCAUGGCUAUCUAAAUCCAAUAUAAACCACAAGUUCUAUUGACCGACUAUGGAUCUGUAUAUGUAUUAUUUAAGUUAUUUAUCCACCGUGAAAAUUGGUUCAAAAUCACAAUCACCUAACUAAAUCGAAAUUGUUCCAAGAUUAAUUAAAGAUCUGCUUAUCCACCAAUAUAAUAAUCACCAUGCUCAACUAGACCUAAGUUCUCAUAAUCCAUCAAACAUCUUUGACUAUCUCCUGAAUAUCACUUCUACAUCACCAUCAAACUAUCCCAUCCAACCAUAACUCUUCAAAACAAUUUCCGCAUGGCACCACCCAACUUGGUGCAUGUUGGAGCUUAAGGAUGUAACAUGAUUGACUCACACAAUCACAAACUCAUCUUGGCUUUUAUUCCAGGCAAAAGUUGUUGGUGCUUAAGCGGUGCUCUUACAUUCCAUAAGUUAAGCACAUCGAUAUAAGUCCAUGCUAUCAGAACUUUAAUAGCUAGGUUGCGUUUCUUGGGCUAGGUUUGGAUCAGAGAAAGGCUUAAGCUUGAGGGGGCAGAAACUCGGAAUAAGUUGCACUUGGUACAGUUGAAGGCCCAGACUAGAGCGCAACACGACUUCUAUCUCUCCAAACUAACCCACACAACACAAUAGUUGUGGCACCUCACUCCACAACAACCAUGUCAUGCCAUCCCGAGUAGUAGAUCCACGUGAAGACAUCGGAAGUGCCCACAAUUGUCCACCAUCGCGGCUGACACAUAGGCAUAGGGUGGAUGAUGCCUUUCUCCUCCAAGUGCCCUCUUCCUACCUUCCUUGCUCCCCCCUAUCGUCAUCCCCUCACCGCUCGACUCCAGGUUCAAAAUCUGACGGCGGCGUCAGUCCGCUCCUGACAACAUUUUCACCCCUUCCCCCACACCCCUCGUGCACUCCCUGCUCCAUGCCAGUCCGGUUGGGCAUCCUUUGCUUGGCUACGGGUUGCUUUGUGUGCUGCCUCGAUCCCACAACCCGCGUUCCCCUGUUGGACGCCGCCAUAGCCGAACGCUCGAGCACCACCCAUCGGUGGAGCAAGAGCAGGGGCAGUCGGCACCGCAAUGUCUAACCCACAGGAUGUGUGCACGACGCUACCUGUCGCCGGGGCCAAGGGACCCCAACAAGGGAACGUAGGAUGCGACAUCAAGUCCGUGACACAUAACACGCAUACAAGGGAAGGACGCCAAGCCAAAUCGACGAGGAACAAAAAUUGCACGACUGCAACAUCCACUUAUUCUAGUUUCACCGUCUAGUGCUUCUUUGUCAAUGAGCCCAUAACCACACUGAAGAUUACGCAACUUUAGUGCCUGAUAGCUGCUUCUUUUGGUUCUCCAUCGACAAGUUCUACUACUGAUUCUUCUGGUAACGAGAGACCACUUUUUACACAACUAGGUACAUCUCCAUGGAUCUUUGGUACUGGAGCAUAUUUUCAUAUAACUUAUGAUUCUUCCAAUUUGUCGGCCAUUUGACCUCCAGAUUCUCAUGUACAUGUUCUUACUGUUGAUGGAACUUCCCACUCAGUCAAUAGUCAAGGCACUCUUAGCACUUUGUCUUUUCAUGUUCCUACUUUUGCUCAUGUUCCUCGACCCAUGUAGCUCAUUUCAGGUGCUUAGAUUGUUGACUCUGGUUGUAGGAUCAUUCUCUUGUUCUGAUUAGGACCAUCACACAGAUGCACGACUUGUCGCUGGCCCUCGACGCUAUAACUCCUAGGUCCAUUGGGAGCUUGAUUGGCCUCACCUUCCCUCUGCUGACACCACCACCAGUCUCUUUGCCUCUCCUCGUCUACCGGCUCUUUGUCGCAUCAUCUUCUUGGUCACUUAUGUCUCUCUCAUCUGCCAUCCUUAGUUCAAUGUGGCCUUCUUGGAUAUGCCUCUAGCAGUGUGUCUUUAGACUGUCAGGUUUGUUGGCUUGGCAAACAGGUUCAAUUACCUUAUCUUCAUAGCGAGACCGUGUCUCAGCAUCCUUUUGAUCUUGUUAACUUGAUGUUUGGGGUCCACCUCCCUUUGCAUCAAAAGGAGGCUAUUAAUACUAUAUUAUCUUUAUAGAUGAUUUCUCUCGACAAGCAUGGAUAUAUUUUAUGCCUUCUUGUAGUGAGGUCUAAUCUACCGUCAUGCUUCAAACCCAGUUUUUCACUCCUAUUUGUGUCUUCCAUGCUGAUUUUGCUCGUGAGUUCAUCCAUCAUUUCCUGCGCAGAUUCCUUGCUGACUAGGGGACACUUGCUAAGUUCUCUUGUCGUGGUCCUGAUGCUCAAAAUGUUGGUCCUAUGCUCAGAAGGUGGCUCGUGCGUUGAAGAUCGUUGCCUCUCUUCCACCUCACUUUUGGGUUGAGCUUGUUUCUACUUCCACCUACCUCAUGAACAUUCAGUCUUCCUUGCUCUGGAAGGUGAUAUUCAUCUCAAGCGGUUCAAGAUCACAAUCACCCAAAUUAGUGCAAGAUUAAUUAAAGAACUGUUUAUUCAUCAAUCUAAUAGUCACCAUGCGCACCUACUAGACAUAAAUUCGCAAAAUCCACCUCACAUCUCUGACUAUCUCCUCAAGAUCACAAUCACCAAACUAAAUCCACCUAAAAUAUCAUAAUCCACCGCGAAAUUUGAUUCAAAAUCAUAACCACCUAACUAAAUCCAAAUUGUUCCAAUUAAUUAAAGAUUUGUUUAUCCACUAAUGUAAUAAUCAUCAUGCUCACCUACUAGACCUAAAAUCUCAUAAUCCAUCGAACAUCAAUGACUAUCUUCUCGACAUCACAAUCACCUAGCUAAAUCCAUUUAAAAUCUCAUAAUCCACUAUGAAAUUUUGUUAAAGAUCACAAUCACCUAACUAAAUCCAAAUUGUUCAAAUUAAUUGAAGAUUUGUUUAUCCACCAAUAUAACAAUCACUAUGCUCACCAGUUAGACCUAAAAUCUCAUAAUCCACCAAACAUCUUGGGACUAUCAAGAACAUAAUCACCUAACUAGAUCCACCUAAAAUCUCAUAAUGCGAUGUGAAAUUUGGUUCAAGAUCAUAUUCACCUCACUAACAAAUUAUUGUAUGAUUAAUUAAAUAUUUGUUUAUCCACCAAUCUAAUAAUAACCACGGUCACCGACUAGACCUAAAAUCUCAUAAUCCAUCGAAAAUCUUUGACCAUCUCCUAAAGAUCACAAUCACCAAAGUAUAUUCAACCAAAAUCGCCUAACUACGAAAAUAUUGUAAGAUUAAUUAAAUAUUUGUUUAUCCACCAAUCUGAUAAUCACCAAGGUCAGCUACUAGACCUAAAAUCUCAUAAUCCAUCGAAAAUAUUUAACUAUCCCCACAAGAUCACAAUCACCAAAGUAUAUUCAUCCAAAAUCUCAAAACUCACCAUGAAGUUUGAUUCAAGAUCGCAAUCGCUUAACUAAAUUCAAAUUGUUUCAAGAUUAAAUAAAAACGUGUUUAUCCACCAACGUAUUAAUGACAUGCUCACCUACUAAACGUAAAAUCUCGUACCAUCUUUGACUAUCUCCUCAAUAUCACAAUCACCAAACUAAAUCCACAUAAAAUCAUUCUCGGGUGUUGCCUAUGAUCUUCCUCCGAGGGAUAAUAGACCAAGAGGUCAUCGCAAGAAACUUGUCCAGGUACUCACAAACAUGUUAUUCAUGAUGUUCAUCAAAUAGCUUGGUAGGGUAAGGAUUAGGUCAAGGGCCACAUCGUUCAUAUCCAGCUCUGUUGUCGUAGCUCGACCAAGUCAUGGCUUGGUGAGACUUAAGGUUGAUAGGGUUAGGAUGUGAGGGUGAAAGUUCACCAUAACACUUAAACACCAUUUCUUUGACACCAACUGUUGUGAGACUCACAUGGCCCAACUCCCACAAAGGUUAUCACAUACUAUCAAAAUGGUCAUCUCUCCGAAUUAAUCCAAACCAUCCUCCCAUAAUGAUCUUGUACUCGUAACAUUCUUUGGGAGGGACAACAAAAUCACGUAGGUCUAACAAUUCUGAUACACAUGUAUCAUAUCCAUGAUUAUAUCCAUAUGGGGCACAUGCAAGCUACUAAGCUUAGAUCAAAACAUCAAAAAUCUGAGUGCCCAAGUUAUCUCCAUCCUGUAAUCCAAGUAGCUAUAUCAUUAAACCUAAAGAAAUCACAAGUUGUGCUACUACAGGAUCCUUAUUUCCUUACUACUAAUCCAAUCCCAGAUGCUCCAAUAAUCCACCAAUUUUCAUAAUCAUGAUUGAUGCUGCUAACUGUCACUCUGACCUAAAGGAAACACAAGUUGUAUUACUCCAAGAUCCUUGUUUCCUUACUACUAAUCCAAUCCCAGAUGCUCCAAUAAUCCACCAAUUUUCAUAAUCAUGAUUGAUGCUGCUAACUGUCACUCUGACCUAAAGGAAACACAAGUUGUGUUACUCCAAGAUCCUUGUUUCCUUAUACUACUAAUUCAAUCCCAGAUGCUCUAAUAAUCCACCAAAUUUCAUAAUCAUGAUUGAUGCUGCUAACUAUCAUCUAACCUAUAUAAAUCCAAUAUAUCCAAGGUUGAUCAUACUACACCCUAAAGUUCUUCAACUUCAAUCUCCAAAGGUGUGAAUUUAACACAGAGCAAUCCACCAACAUCAUAGCCAUGAUUUAAAUAAACUCCAAUUUCGUGGUUAUCUAAAUCCAAUAUAAACCACAAGUUCUAAUGACCGACUAUGGAUCUGUAUAUGUACUAUUGAAGUUAUUUAUCCACCAUGAAAUUUGAUUCAAAAUCACAAUCACCUAACUAAAUCCAAAUUGUUCCAAGAUUAAUUAAAUAUCUGCUUAUCCACCAAUAUAAUAAUCACUAUGCUCAACUAGACCUAAGUUUUCAUAAUCCACCGAACAUCUUCGACUAUCUCCUGAAUAUCACUUCUAUAUCACCAUCAAACUAUCUCAUCCAAUCAUAACUCCUCAAAACAAAUUCCGCAUGGCACCACCCAACUUGGUGUAUAUUGGAGCUUAAGGAUGUAACAUGAUUGACUCACACAAUCACAAUCUCAUGUUGGCUUUUAUUCCAGGCAAAAGUUGUUGGUGCUUAAGCGGUGCUCUUAUAAUUCCACAAGUUAAGCACAUCGAUAUAAGUCCAUGCUUUCAGAACUUUAAUAGCAAGGCUGGGUUUCUUGGGCUAGGUUUGGAUCAGAGAAAGGCUUAAGCUUGAGAACGCAAAAACUCGAAAUAAGUUGCACAUGGUGCAAUUGAAGGCCUAGACUAGAGCGCAAUGACUUCUAUCUCUCCAAACUCACCCACACAACACAAUAGUUGUGGCACCUUAGUCCACAACAACCAUGUCAUGCCAUCCCGAGUAGUAGAUCCACGUGAAGACAUCGAAACAACCCACAACCGUCCACCAUCGCAGCUGACACAUAGGCAUAGGGUGGAUGAUGCCUUUCUACUCCAGGUGCCCUCUUCCUGCCUUCCUCGCUUCCCCUAUCGUCAUCCCCUCACCGCUCAACUCCAGGUUCAAAAUAUGACGGCGGUGGCAAUCCGCUCCCGGCGACAUUUUCACCCCUUCCCCCACACCCCUCAUGCACUCUCCGCUCCAUGCCAGUCCGGUUGGGCAUCCUUUGCUUGGCUACGGGUUGCUUUGUGUGCUGCCUCGAUCCCACAACCCGUGUUCCCCUGUUGGGCACCGCCAUAGCCGAACGCUCGAGCACCACCUAUUGGCAGAGCAAGAGCAGGGGCAGUCGGCACCGCAAUGUCUAACCCACAAGAUGUGUGCACGACGCUACCUGUCGCCGGGGCCAAGGGCCCCCAACAAGGGAACGUAGGAUGCGACAUCAAGUUCGUGACACAUAAUCCGCAUACAAGGGAAGGACGCCAAGCCAAAUCGACGAGGAACAAAAAUUGCAAGACUUUGACACCCACUUCUUCUAGUUUUACGGCCUGGUGCUUCUUCGUCUGAUUCUUCAACUUUGUCGGCCAUUCGACCUCCAGAUUCUCAUGUUCAUGUUCUUAGGAACUUCCCUCCCAGUCGAUAGUCGAGGCACUCUUAGCACUUUUGUCUUUUCAUGUUCCUUGUUUUGCUCAUGUUCAUCGACCCAUGCAACUCAUUUCAGGUGGUUAGAUUGUUAACUCUGGUUGUAGGGUUAUUCUUGACUUUAACUCUUGUUCUGAUUAGGAUCCUCACGCGGAUGGUCUACUUGUUGCUGGCCCUCGACGCUAUAACUCCCAGGUCAUUCGGGACCUUGAUUGGCUUCACCUUCCCUCUGAUGACACCGCCGCCAGUCUCUCCGCCUCUCCUCGCCUACCGACUCUUUGUGGCAUCAUCGUCCUGGUCACUCAUGUGGCUCUCAUCUGUCAUCCUUAGUUCGACGUGUCCUUGGAUAUGCUCUAGAGGAGUGUCUUUAGACUGUCAGGUUUGUCGGCUUUCCAAAAAGGUUCAGUUACCUUAUCUUCAUAGUGAGACUGUGUCUCAGCGUCCUUUUGAUCUUGUUCACUUGAUGUUUGGGGUCCAGCUCCCUUUGCCUCGAAAGGAGGCUAUUGCUACUAUAUUAUCUCUCGACACACAUGGAUAUAUUUUAUGCCUUCUUGUGGUGAGGUCUUAUUUGUUUGUAAGAAGUUUGCAGCAAAUCAGCAAUGCUUCAUACCGUGUUUUCCACUCCUAUCUGUGUCUUCCAUGCAGAUUUUACUCAUGAUUUUAUCUGUCGUUUGUUGCGCGGAUUCCUUGCCGAGCAGGGCACACUUGCUCGGUUCUCUUGGCGUGGACAUGAUGCUCAGAAUGUUGUUGUCGAGCGCAAGCAUCGUCAACUUCUUGAGGCGGCUCAUGUGUUGAAGAUCGUUGCCUCACUUCCAUCACACUUUUGGGUUGAGGUUGUUUCUACUUCAACCUACCUCAUCAACAUUCAGCGUUCCUUACUUUGUAGGAUGACAUUCAUCUCGAACGUAUUUCUGAUCGUUCUCGUGACUACUCAUCGCUUCGUUUGUUUGAUUGCAUUUGCUACGCUCUUGUUGCCCCCCACCCCCGUGAAUGCACCGAACUGACUGCUCAGUCUAUUGAAUGUGUCUUCUUGGGUUACAGUGAUGAGCACAAGGGCUAUCAGUGUUGGGAUCCUAUCGGUCGAUGGAUGCGCAUUUCCUCGGGAUGUGACUUUUGACGAGUCUCGUCCUUUCUAUCCACGCUUAUCCUCUCCUUCGGCCUCCCCCAUCAAGGAUAUUUCCUAACUUUUUCCUGAUACACCUAUCACCCGUCUACCGUCCCACCGUGUCUUCCCAUACUACUGUUAUAGACCCCACAUCAUCGUCACCUGCGGCUUUCCCGGUGAUUCCCCCUCGUACUCUUCUUUACUACAUUAGUAACUAGUGUGUCGUGGAUUCUUUAGAUGCGCCAUCCUCAACUAUUAUGUCUCCUUCUGUUGGCAACACACCUCCUCCAGCUUAACCUGCUUAUGGCUUCCGUGCUCGCCCGCUUCCGCCUAUUGUCCGCUAUGGGUGUUCUGACGUCGCUCUUCCCGAGACGACUUCUUACCGAGUCGUCGUGUUCUUCCCGAGCGACGGCAUGUGAUGUCAUAGGAGAUUGCUGCUCUUGAGCGCGCCGACAUGUGGGAUCACAUUUCCCUUCCUCCCCGUGCCUAUCCCAUCACGUGUUAACUUGUAAGUGGGUCUACAAGGUUUAGACUCUGAUGGUUCACUUGAGCGUUACAAAGCUCAUCUUGUGACCCGUGGCUUUCAACAGAACAUGGUUGUGAUUACAAUGAGACAUUUGCUCCUAUGGCACGCAUGACCACUCUUCGCACACUUCUCAGUAUGAUAUUUGUUCGCCACUGGUCUAUCUCUCAGCUUGAUGCCAAGAAUGCAUUUCUUAAUGGUGAGUUGCAUGAGAAAGCCCCUCGUGUCUGGUUUGUCUCAAUGGUGACCGCAGCUAGUUUUUGGCGAGUGCUCAUGAUCCUGCACUUUAUGUCCACCUUUCAGCUCGUGGUCGAACUCUUAUGCUAUAUGUCGAUGGCAUGAUCAUCACUGGCGACGACGCUGAGUGGAUUGCCUUUGUGAAUGCUAGUCUUAGUGAAUAGUUUCUAUGUUUGAUCUUGGUCUUAUUUCCUACUUCCUUGUGAUUCAGGGUUUCCUCUACCUCUGAUGGCUUCUUUAUUUCCCAAGAGGGUUAGAAAGGAGGGGUAUUAAGAAUGUCAAAGGGGGUGUCAAUAUCAAGCAGAUAGGGCAUAGCUUAACCCUAGCUAACUUACUUAGCAUAGCAAUACUAGUAAAACAAUACUUUAUGCAUGAAAAAUAAUUCGAAGUGUGUAAUGCAAAUAUGGGUUCAACAUGAUUAGCGUAGGUUGCUUGCCUCGCUCGGCAAAGUCUUCAAUGCUUUUGGUCACUCCUUGAACAUCCUUGAAUCUUCCGAAAAAUAACAUUUUCUACUCGCUGAAAAAAAAUAGCACACAAUCAAUAGACAGUACAUGCAAAUGGCUCCAAAAUUUACAAAAUUAGUAUUAAUGGAAAAACACCAUCAGCAUCCCGUGCGAGCACACACACAAAGCAAAGCUCGAUGCUUUCACUCGCUGCACUAUACUAGGGCAGGUGCAGUUUCUUCGCUAGAGAAACAAUGCAUAUGGUUCAGACUUUUUCAGACAAUUAAAUUGCAACAUCACAAUCUAAUAUCAAACAUCCGAGUGCAAAACAUCAAGUCUGUUCAGGUUGGAAUAUGACUAGGAUUACCCACAGCCAUGUUUUAAUUUUGUGGAUUUUUUCACUCCAUGCACUAUGCUGAACGCAAACAGAAGUUUUUCACUCGAGAAGCAUUGUACAGGUUUCAGACUUCCUCAGAAAAUAGUUUGCCUGAGCGCAAACGUGUCAUGUCUGUUCAAUUAGGAUUAGUCACAGCUAGAAUCAAGAUCGUGUUCGACUAGGAUUACUCACAGCCAGAAUCAAGACCUAAGACCGCACAGCAGGCCUCCGGAUGGGAGGUUUAAGAGGGAGAAAAGCAACCACAGGAUCAGCCAUGACUUGGGACAGCUUUCCUCUAGUGCUUGUGAUUGAAAGGGAGGACAUCACUGGAGAAAAAGAGAGAAUAUGUCAAGACUCAAGAGGAAGGAGUAGUACUAGGUUUAACUACUUGAGAGUUUACAGCAAUUUUUCAGUAUUUUGUUUGCAAUUAUUCUUGCAUUUCAAGUAGUUUUGUUUGCAAUUUUGUUUUCCUGCCUGUGAUUAGUUGAGAUAGAUCGGAGCAGUUGCAUACUCCGCAUAAUUUCUCGCCUUGUUUUCUCACCAUUUCGAAGGACUUGUUUACAUAACCGCUCAAGUCGGUCUGCCUAUACCUUGCCUGUACCUAUGCCUAUACCUUGUAAGCAUAACCCGGUUCAAGUCGGUCUGCUUACAAGUCUGACGCCAAGGACCAAAGCUAGGUGCAUGGCAGUUGGAAACCGGCCAAGACAGUGCAAGACCCAAGAUAGAUCCCUGCACCUAAUCCAGGGCCUCAACCUGACAAACGCUGGAUAUUAUGUCGCCCCAGAACGCUGCACCGUGGGCAGCAGCAGGCACAGGCAGGACCAGGGCACUCAGAUCCUGCAUGCAAUGCACCCAAACAUUAUGCUAUGCUAUGAGCGGGCAAAACUGCACCACCGAUCGAGCCAUCGUCCAAUAACAACAAGACAUACAUAUACAUCUCUAUCUCCCUCCGUCUCCAUCUAAGAGAUCGGUGACAUCGACAUGAAUGCCGCGAGGACACACAGCCCCAGUGGCCAAACGCCAGGACACACACAGUGAAGCGCUGGCUCAUAUAUAUCGCUCAGAUCAGAUGGGUGGGCAGCCCAUGUCCUUGCGCAAGAUGAAAGUGACAAUACCGUUGAGCGAACGUUGAUGGUCCUAGCAAAAACGUGACAUGUCUAACCCAUUAUAGACUAGCCAAAGAGGCCCUUGACUUUGGUUGGGCACUGUUGGUUCAUGACAGCAACCACUCAUCCGUCGCGUCUCAUCUCGUUUGUCCCACCUGUACGCAUAUCUAAGACAGUAACUAUUUGGUUCUCACCGGGACACAUCUUGAGUGUGACGCAUAGUACUAGUUAGACCAUGACACGGGCGUGCAUUUUCAUUUUCAGAUGAUACAACAAGGCCAUGAGAUGUGGCGAAGACACAUACAUAGGAAGGUAGAGUAGAUAAAUAUCGCAUAGGCAUUCUGGCGACGAAAUGCACACCUCAGGAUGAGCACAGGGAGGCCUUCUGCUUUACCAGCAGCUGGUUCAGCUUGACCACCAGCUGAUAGUUGCUGCACAUGUAAUCCUGGAACGAUCCCCGGAGACUCCGGAGGUCGCCUACGUGGUUCCCGUUGGAGCCCGGGUUCAGCAGCGUGGUGAAGAGCUGAAGGACAAAAAGGUGGAGGGGUUAUCACUCUGGGCAUCACUUUUGUAAGCAAAAUCAAGAGCUCACGGCAGCACAACCUUUUAAAUGACAAUUUGGGUUGGUGCAUGUAGCUUCCACCUGUUCCGGGCACCUUAGCGAUGCUCAUCUCUUCCCCGUGCAGCAUCAUGAGUGCAAUCACGCACAGACCAAAAGUGCCAACCUGCGCAAGAGACGAAACCAAAUCGAUUUGCAGACGACUUCUUUCCGUGAUUGCUAAUAAGGCUGUGAAUAACUUUGAAGGGUACAGACUUGAUAUGUCCAGCUUCUCUCUUCUUGCAUUUCAAUGCAACUGAUUUGGCUCUGAUUUGUCGCAUUGCAGGGAGAAGUGAAGAUGAGGGCGGCGUUGGGCGUAGUGGAUCAGGUAGGAGGGCUUCUUCACCUCAAACGACUAAGCCGCCAAGUUUGUGGCCGCCUGCGCAACAAGCACAGACGCAAUUCCGUCGCCUGAAUCCACGGCGUGAGACGAGACGGAACGAGAGGAGACGAGAGGAGGGGGGGACGCUAGCCGGACCUGCGGGGAGAGGUGGGCGACGUCGACGCCCCGAGAGAUGAGGGCGAGAAGGUGCUUAAGGGCGUCCAGCUUGUCGCCGUCGAAGCGGGAGUCGAGGAGCGCCGGGAUGGCGGCGCCGUCCGGGUCGUCCUAGAGGUGCGCGUCCGCCCCACUGCCCACGGCGGUGCCGCGCCGCUGGCCCGCAUCCCGCACAUCUCCGAAUCAGACUCUCGAUAGGCGGCGAGGCUGCGCGGCGCGGAUCUUGCGUGCCCGAGCUCCCUCGUCGAACGCGGCGGCGAGGCUGCGCGGCGCGGAUCUCGGCGGCCGUCGCGCCCCGAGACGAGGUCUGAGUCCGUCUCGUUCACGGGAGCGCGAUGGGUACGAGCGGGCCUGUGUAACCUGGGCCGUCCACGAGAGGGACUGUGUCGUAUUUUCUGUGGGCCUGAUCCACGUACCGGGCUUGUUUGGUACCGGUGGAGCGGGAGCAGACGGCGGCCUGCUGCUAGUGCUACGGGUAAGCUGUACCUGGAAAUUUGCCUCAAAAAAAAAUGCUGUACCUGGAAAUGUUUCUCAAAAAAAAAAACUGUACCUGGAAACUAUAGCCCCACAUCGCCAGUUUCAUUAACUCAAAAAUGAUUAAAGAAAUAAAAAAUAAUUCAAAAAACACACAUUAAAAAAAAUCUUUCUAAAUCAUCCUUCCUAUAAAAAGAUGAAAGGUAGCUUUGAUAUAGUUUUAAAUAUAUAUUCUUUGGAUUAAUAUAGUUUUAAGUGAGCUUAGGCUUUGAUAUGAAAUUGCAUGAUUUAUUUGUGCUCUAUUAUAAUGUAUACAUUUACAAAGGAAAAUGAUGAUAUUCCUACUAGACAGUAUUUUGGGGAUAAUAUUGUAUAGGAAAGCGAAUAUCCAUUUCUGAGCCCAGGCUCAGCUGCAUCCGGCGAAGAGAAAAUUCACAAAAAAUGCUAAAAAAAUAGAAAAAUCCAAAAAAAAUCAUGGAAGAUAAUUGGGACAAUUGCAUUUUUACCCCUAGUUGGUUCCUACCCACGGGUUUUGCCCUUACUUUUCGAGCUUGCUCAGUUUUGCCCUUACUUUUUCCGUCAUGGUCCCUCGAAUGCCCUUUGACCGUUUGACCAAAACUUCGAAAAUUCAUAACUAAUUCAUAUGAACUCAGAAAAAUGCAAAUAAGAUAUCAAAGUGUUCAGAUAAACAUUACCUUUAUGUGCAUAUCAUUUGCACUCAGGACAAAAGCAGCCUUUAAACUACCUGAGGUAAUUAAUGAUAUUAACAUUAUUAAAAAUAAAAAGGUAUAAACAAUAUUUUUUCAUGAAUAAAAAUUACAUGCAAAUGUAGGUGAUGUUUUCUGAACAUCCAGAUAUCUUACUUGCAUUUUUCUGAGUUCGUAUCAUCUUGUUAAGAAUGUCCUAACGACUUUGACCAUUAUUUGGAAACUUCAUAACAAGUUGAUACGAACUCAGAAAAAUGCAAAUAAGAUAUCAGUAUGUUCAGAAAACAUCACCUACAUUUGCAUGUAAUUUUUAUUCAUGAAAAAAAUAUUGUUUAUACCUUUUUAUUUUUAAUAAUGUUAAUAUCAUUAAUUACCUCAGGUAGUUUAAAGGCUGCUUUUGUCCUGAAUGCAAAUGAUGUGCACAUAAAGGUAAUGUUUAUCUGAACAUUUUGAUAUCUUAUUUGCAUUUUUCUAAGUUCAUAUGAAUUAGUUAUGAAUUUUUAAAGUUUUGGUCAAACGGUCAAAGGGCAUUCGAGGGACCUCGACGGAAAAAGUAAGGGCAAAACUGAGCAAGCUCGAAAAGUAAGGGCAAAACCCGUGGGUAGGAACCAACUAGGGGUAAAAAUGCAAUUGUCCCAAGAUAAUUUGAUGCAUGAGGUGCGCGUAAAAUUUCAGAUCAUUUGAACAUAUGAGCAGGUCUUGGCAAAAAGACAAAAUAGGUCAGAACAAUACAUGAACAGUAAACUUUUCCACAGACCCCAAAUUUGUCAUUUUUGCCGAGAGCAGAUGUCCGAAUGGUAUGAAAUUUGGAGCGCACCUCAUGCACCAAAUUAUCUUCCAUGCAAAAAGAAAUAGGAAUUUUUUUUAUAGUAUUCUGUUCAUUGCGGGUGCAGCUAAGCCUGGGCACUGAAUCGCCUCAUCUGAAAGGAAAGUGGCUAUUCUCUAGUUUUGUUAUAUAUCCCUGGUAUUUCUCAACUCUGAAACAAAGCUUUGUAGCAGCUACAAUAGUAGCCCGUUCUUGUAGUUCCGGUUUCACCUGUGCAAAGACGAAAUUUUAGUAGAUACAAUUAAUCUUUGUGAUAAUUACUUGAUGAAGCUACCAAAAUAAAUUUACUAAACUAUAUCUGUUAUUAUCUAUGUUUGACUAUAUCUGUCACGAUGGCUAUUCUCUAUGUUGGGACUUUUUUGAAGAUGUAAAAGGCAUUUUUUGCAUCACCAAAUAUACAUCAUUUAUGGAACACCUACUUUUACAUCUCGAAUUAUACAUCUUCUAUUGGAGAUGCUCCAAGAGAGUACUUUUUUGUGUUAGUUGGGAAGAAAGGGAUUGCAUGCAUCGAUAAUUCAUUAAUCAGGUGCAUGGUGCACAUAUAUAGAUACAGGGGGUGGCCUCUACUUGUCUCCUAAGAUGUACAAAUAUACGAGGGGAGAAAGAAGAUACGGCAGGAAUAAAUACAAGUCCCUAGUCCNNNNNNNNNNNNNNNNNNNNNNNNNNNNNNNNNNNNNNNNNNNNNNNNNNNNNNNNNNNNNNNNNNNNNNNNNNNNNNNNNNNNNNNNNNNNNNNNNNNNNNNNNNNNNNNNNNNNNNNNNNNNNNNNNNNNNNNNNNNNNNNNNNNNNNNNNNNNNNNNNNNNNNNNNNNNNNNNNNNNNNNNNNNNNNNNNNNNNNNNNNNNNNNNNNNNNNNNNNNNNNNNNNNNNNNNNNNNNNNNNNNNNNNNNNNNNNNNNNNNNNNNNNNNNNNNNNNNNNNNNNNAGCGUCGUCGGAGACGCAAAGACUGGACUGAAACUCCUCAAAGGUCGAUGUCGGUAGGCCUUUCGUCAUAACAUCGGUGAAAUGCUGAACGAUAGGCACAUGCAAAACUCGAAUACGCCCAAAUGCCACUUGUUCACGCACAAAGUGAAUGUCGAGCUCAUUGUGCUUUGUGCGGCGGUGAUGAACAGGGUUUGCGAAGAGGUUGACGACAAAGACGUUGUCACAACAGACAAUCGUGGCCUUGUGAACCUCACAAAGCAACUCCUGAAGCAACUGACAGAUCCAUGAGCACUCACCAACGGCAUUAGCCACAGCCCGAUACUCCGCCUCAGCAUUUGAGCGAGAGAGCGUGGGCUGUCGCUUGGAUGACCCCGAAAUCAGCGAGGGCCCGAGGUAAACGCAGUAGCCGGAUGUAGAGCGAUGAGUGUCGGGGCAGCCAGCCCAGUCUGCAUCCGAAUAUGCCACAAUGUCGGUGGAAGAGGAAGCCAUCAAGGUGAGUCCCCGGGUCAUAGUGCCGUGUAUUUACCGGAGAAUGCGCUUCACCAGAGUCUAGUGGGAGUCACGUGGGGAGUGCAUGGGGAGUGCCGGCGGAGAAACUGCACCUACGGCGAGGUUGCAGAACCGGAGCUACCCCCGGUCUCCACCUUCGACCGCUCCAAGGCGAUGCGGAGGGCAAGCUCAUAGUCCAGAUCCAGGUAGGAGUCGGAGCUGCUAUUGGAGCUCGACAUUGCACCGGAUUCAAUCGGAAACUGUGCGGGGAGAGGAGAGGACGGAGCGAGAGGAGAGAGUGAGUGAGCUAGGGUUUCGGAGCGAUGAGCCGGAUGGAGUUUUUUGUGGGACAGCUGUGGGGUCGGUGGUGGCCCGGGCUUGUCAGGCGGACGCGCCCGGGCAUGCCCGGGUCACCCCAUAUCCGCCUCAUAUUUGGGCUGGAUAUGAGGGGUGUCGGUCAGCCCGGCGUUUGAGGCCCGUUUGAGGCGUCCGUCUGGGUCAAAAAAUCGUGACCGGUCAGUGACCAGACGGGCAGCCCGGGCGUUUGAGGCCGAUUUGAGGCGCCCGGUUGUAGAUGCUCUUAGCCUAUGGAGGCCCUUGCAGAUGCCAAUGAAACUGCUUACCAACAGAAAACCAGCAACGCCAAGGCUUGCAUCGAAGAAUCAUCGGAUUGAAUCCACCAUUGCAUAUGGGCAUUAUGAGUCUGUGAACAGGGCCGACAUGAACACCAUAGCCCUCGUCUUUGUAACGAGUCAACAGGGGGAUUUUCCCCAUGCUUCCCAUAUCCUUCGCAUCAAACCAAACUAGUCGGGGAAUGACAUCGAAUCCACCUUCCAGCAACCACUUGCCCAAUUCCAACAUAGUCGAAAACUCGCACGAGCCAACCCCAACAUUAAUUAGGACAUCGAUCACCUAGUGGGGUUGAAGUUUAUGCAACUGAAGGAUACGAUUUGGGUUUGGGGAGCAUAAGGAGUCCCACGGCUGACGAGGUCAGUGGUGUCUGCACACCCUAUACGUUGUUGUGCGCCUUCUGCGAGCCAUGUUUAGUAAGACUGAAUUUGGUAACAAUAUGCUUCUUAUGGCAAGUUUGUUUGCACACUUGAUGGUAUUUGUCGUUCAUCCAUUUAUGCAGAAAAGCUUCCACAUGUGUGACGGACAAGUGUUCCUUGGCUAUCAAAUCGGAUAAGUAUCUGCUUUCAAUUCUGACCCAAACAUGUUUUUGGCAAGAACCUCAACCUGUCAAAUGGCUGGGGUUUACUAAUGCUUCUGCAUUGAUAAUAGCAAUUUGUAUUUGUGGCCGAUGUUGGGUUGGUAAAUUGACAGAUAUCUUGGCUUGCAAAAUUUUAGCGGUGAAAUCGACCUACAGAUGUUUAGGGCGUGUUUGGUUGCCUGCAUAUGGCCCAGCCUGGCCCGUGCGGGAAGAACUUGGCCCGUUUGGUUGCCUGCAUUUACUGUGCGGCCCGCAUCGCACGAAAGUUAAAGCACGUCCAGGCCAGGCCCAGGGGAAACGCCCGAAUCGGCAGUAACUCGUCAGCCUGGCUCGGGCGAGGUAGGGGAGGGCGACGCGCUUCUCCCCUCGUGCGAGCAGGGAGAUGGCGCGAGCUCGCCCGCGUCACCGAAAAAUCGGCGGGAGGAUUUCAGCUCACCUCCCGCUGAGUCCACCCCUAUUUAUCCCCUCCCUCACCGCCCCAACUCCCGCCACCAUUCUCCCUCUGUUCGAGCUUUCCCGCCGAUGCGCAUCGGCACCAACGAGCAGGUAAGCGACGCAUCUUCAUCGGUCGACGGUCCACGGUGUUGGCGCUCCUUCACCGGCCGACGUUGAUCUUCCAUGACCGUCCCCCCUUGUCCUCGAGCUGCAGCCAUGGCCUCUGUGAGUUCAAUCCCCCUUUCUCUCUGUUCCUUCUAGCUAGAUCUGAGCUGCAGCUAGGGUUUGAUCUAGAUGCAUGGUUGAUUAGUGGUCUGAUAUGUGAGCUGAUAUGGUUGAUUGCUAUGUUGUGGUUGCAAUUUGUGGUAGGGCUAGAUGUUCAAGCAUGUGGUAGGCUAGAUUAGUAGUAGAGUUUGAAGUUGAACCUUGUGCUUGUGUUGAUUCGCGCUUAGAUCUGUGAUUUGUAGCUAUUGGCAUUUGUAGCAUGUUGUUUGUUGUAGAUGUAUGCUCCUGCUCAUAGAUUGUCUGGUAUGCUUAGUAUGAUAGCGAUGAAGCAUGUGCUUGCUAUGAUAGUGAUGAACCAUGUACAUGUAUGCUCCUGCUUUCAUGGAUUGUCCGGUAUGUUGUGUGCUAUGCUUACUGUCAAUGCAUGCUAUGAUUGUAGGACAUGACCACGUAGACGCAAGAUCUUAGUCAGGCCCUUGUCCUGUCCGAUGGCCAGUUUGCUCCAUCGUUUGUCGAGGACUCGAAGCCUAUGUCCGAGAUGGCACCUGAUUCAGAGGUGUUCGCGUCUGAUUCCCUCUAUGUGCCAGUAGUGCUCGUUGAGCCAACUCCCGCUGCUGCUGCUACUGCCGCUGCACUCAAGGUAGCAGCAGCAAAGGCAAAGAAGGAUGGUAGGUCGAACAACAUGAAGUGGCAGCCGUUCAUGUCCAUGUUCGUGCUGAACAAGAUGUGUGAGCUCACCUCUAGUGGAGUUAGGACUGACAAGGGCUUCAAGGAGGUGCACUUGAACACCGUUGCGAAGCAGGUGUUAGAGUUCUGUGGGCAGGAGGUGUCUGCCACCCAGGUGUACAACCACCUGAGGAAGUGGAGAAGUCGAUGGAUCCAAGUGUCCAAGCUGAGAGACCUUAGCGGCGCCUCAUGGGAUGACAACAAGGGCCAGGGUGUUGCGUUCGUUGUCAUGGCCGACGCUCACAGGGUGCUGUGGCUCAGGAGCUGGCUGAGCAAGCACUACUACUAGAGUAGUGUUGCCUGUGAGCGUGCAUGAUCCCCGACGGCGAUGGCGGUGGCGACGACGUUGACGAUGACGAUGACGAUGUACAUUCUGUGUAGCUAGGGCUCAAAAACUAUUUGAUGGUAUGUAUAUUUUGGUGAGGUGGUAUAUACUAACCCCUCAUGCUGAUGGUGAACUUGCGGUGGUAGGACGACACCCUCUUUUGGAUGUGGUGGUAGGUUAACACCAAUGUAGUGCUAGGUAGAACUUGCUAUGCCGUAUGAUCAUGCAUGCUUUACUUAUUCUCUUCUGCUCCAUUGUUGUUUGUGUGCUACUUUGCUUGCUAAUUGUGUGCUCCAUUGAUUUGCUGCUUCAACUCUUGCUCUUGUGCAUUGCUAGGGAAAGUGGUAUGCCGUGUUCAUCGGUAAGGCUCCAGGGGUUUCUAGUUCAUGGGAAGAAGCCAGUGCACAAGUGGCAUUGUAUAGCAAUAGCAGCCAUAGAGGGUUCAAGACUAGGCAGGCAACAGAACAAGCUUACUCCGGCUGGGUGCGAAAGCACGGAGGCAGCAGUGUUGACAGUGGCAAGGUUGGAGGUGUCAAGGUGGAUCGUCAGUUUGGGCUGAAGCUGAAGAACUUCAUCAUCUUCGCCCAGUUCAUCGCCAUUGAUGUGUUGUGGCGUUGGUGUGCUAGGUGUGAUCAUUGUGGGUAAGCUUACCAACUAGGGUACAAGGUAAGCACAACAUGUACGCCAUAUGCAACCAAACGCCAUGUUUAUGUGCCGCUUGGGCCAAUGCAGGCAACCAAACAAAGUGCACUUGCGUAUUACCUAAUGCAGGGACACUAGAUACAGGCAAGCAAACAACUUGCAGAUAGCGUAUUAGGGCUUGUUUUUGCUCAACCAGGCUGGGUUGAGAAGUGUAUGCGAUUCAGGAACUGUAGCAAACGGCAACCAAACACGCCCUUAUUUCCUCACCCAGAUUUCUUACAGGGUAAGCAAAUGUCCCUGGGCUGGGGCUUAGUAAUGCUUCUGGCGAAGAGAAAGGUGCCCCAGCCCAUUUUAUUCAAGUGAAGCCACAUGUAUCAUGCAUUUUCUAUUAAAAAAACAGGUAUCAUGCUUUCCGGUUCAGUUUUUUAGCUCACUAGAUGCACCUGACUUGUUUGGAUGCCGCAGUGAAAUGAAUUUCUGUGAAUCAAAAUUCUGGGUUGAUGGAGAGGGUAUGUGCAGGACUGCGUAUGUGUUUGCAUUUGGUUUUCCAUCCUUUAGUAAUUCUUUCUUGAGCUAGUACUUUUUAUGAUUUCCGGUGUAUUGAGUGAGUUAAAAACAUAUCCCAACUUUAUAAAAAGGCAAAGUAACUUUCCUAUGAUUGUAAUUAUGAUCAUGCCAAUGAGAAAUUAAAAUAAGCAUCUUUUAGCUCCAGUUGGCUAUGCAGUACUCAAAUAAGUACAUAAGAUCUUUAAAUCUAAAAAAAGGUACAUAAGAUCUUUUCAUCUAAUGAACAAGUGGAUCUUUUGUACCCAGUAGAUCAAACUGUCUUUUCAUCUAAAUGAAGAAGUGGAUAUCUUGUAUCCAAUAGAUGAACUACAUAAUAUCUUUUCACUGUAUUGUUUGAUUAAAUCCUCCAACAUGCAUACAUUGCAUCCGUGAAUCUUGGUAUUUUUUAGAUACUUUCAGUUGACUCAAAAAGAACUAAGAUAAAAUGAGCUCUUUGUGCGACUUGCGGUAAACGUCUUAGCCUUCCUGGCCGGAUGUGUUGCGUGUUAAAUAGCUGGGUUGCAAGCCCGGAUACGCGUACAGGUUGUUGGGAUACAUCUUGGAGAGAAAUAAUACUAGAGAUAAGAGAAGAUAAAGAUUACAAAGUAUCCUAGCUAACUAACUACUCCACGAUUGAUGAUCCUCCUGGUUGUGUGCGCAUCUCCUUGUUGUACACGCAACAAUAUCAUGUUUGACACCCUCCCUUGAUCACAACUUCAUCAAGUUGAGAUUAUGCUUGAAGUCUUCAAAACUUCUUGUGGGUAGAGCUUUGGUGAAACCAUCCGCAACUUGGUCUUGAGAAUGAAUAAACUGAAUAUCUAAGAGUUUAUCUGCAACUCUUUCUCGGACGAAGUGAAAAUCUAUCUCAAUGUGUUUAGUUCUAGCAUGAAAGAUUGGAUUUGCUGAUAGGUAGGUAGCACCUAGAUUAUCACACCAUAGACAUGGAGCUCUAGUGUUUUUCAUACCUAGUUCCUUCAAAAUUGACUGCACCCAUAUGAUCUCUUCUGUUGCAUUUGCCAAUGCUUUGUACUCUGCUUCUGUGCUGGAUCUGGAAACAGUGGCUUGCUUCCUUGCACUCCAAGAUAUCAAAUUGGGUCCAAAAAAUACUUCAAAACCACCAGUUGAGCGUCUGUCAUCUAGACAACCUGCCCAGUCCGAGUCAGAGAAGGCACUAAUAAGUGUAGAGGAUGACUUUCUGAAAUUUAAGCCAAUGCUCAAUGUAUUCUUCACAUAUCUUAUUAUGCAUUUUGCAGCAGUCAAGUGGACUGUAGUAGGUGCAUGCAGGAACUGACAUACUUUGUUAACAACAAAUGAAAUGUCUGGUCUGGUAAGUGUUAAGUACUGAAGUGCACCUACCAGGCUUCUGUAUUUUGUACUAUUUUCUAAAUCCAAAAGCUCUCCUUCAGCAAGAGAUAAUUUUUCUGUGCUAGAUAAAGGAGUGGGUGCAGGCUUACAACUUUGCAGACCAGCCUUUUUUACUAAGUCUGUUGCAUAUUUUUCUUGAGAGAGGUGAAGACCAUCUUUGUGUUGCUUGACCUCAAUACCAAGAAGUAGUGUUGAUCUCCUAGAUCCUUGAGAGCAAAUUCUGCACUUAAGUCCUUCAACAGUGUUGUUAUUGCUUCAUCAGAUGAGCUUGUCACAAUUAUAUCAUCAACAUAAGUGAGGACAAAUAUGGAUAUAUUUGACCUGUUAUAGAUAAAUAACGAAGUGUCAGACUUUGAAGGAACAAAACCAAGUGCUUGCAUCUUUUCACUGAGGCGAGAAUACCAUGCUCUUAGCGCCUGUUUCAGUCCAUACAGGGCCUUGUCAAGUUUGCACACAUGAAGUGGUGCUUGUGCAUUUACAAACCUAGGAGGUUGUUUCAUGUAAAUCUCUUCUUCCAGAACACCAUGGAGGAACGCGUUCUGAACAUCUAGCUGUCGUAGACUCCAUCCCCUGGACACAGCAAUGGACAAAACAAGACGAAUAGUAGCAGCUUUAACAACUGGACUAAACGUGUCCUCAUAGUCAAUACCAUACCUUUGUUUAAAACCCUUUGCAACAAGUCUAGCUUUGUAUCGGUCAAUGGUUCCAUCAGCUUUCCUUUUUAUCCUGAAGACCCACUUACAGUCAAUAAGGUUUUUACCUUGUCGUGGGGGAACCAGGUGCCAUGUUUUGUUUUUCUUGAGUGCCAUAAUUUCAUCUUGCAUUGCCUUUCUCCAAUUUGCAUCACCAAGAGCCUCUUCGAGAGUGUUGGGUUCUCCAGGUUCACCUGUCGAACAUACCAGCCCAUAUUUUGUAAUAUGUUUGUAAUCAAUAGGCUUAGUUACCCCUUGUUGUAGUCGUGUGCAACAUGGAGUAGUAGCAGGAGCCACUACAGAGAGCUCCGGCGCAGAGGAUCCCAAGCCUGGAUCGGGUUGAUCCUCCCCCGAUCCCGAGGAGAAUCCGUGAGCAGCUCCAGAACCAGCGGUGUCGGCAGCAGGUGUCGGGGUCGGAUCUUCUGCGGUCGCCAGUUGCGGUGCAAGGGACGAAUCGGCCACAGAAGAUCUCGGCCGAGCGCGUCAUCAUUGCCCCAUGAUUGCCUGGGCCCCGUGUCGACAGGGUCUGUCCCCGCGCCCAUCCGACGAGUCGCGAGCCGCCGCUUGUACACGCGCGGUUGGGCCUCAAGCCACGCAUGGCCCGGGCCAGCGUCGGCCUGCCAUCUGUUGGGCGGCGAUUGGCGUGCGCGAGGGGAGGCGUCGUGGCCCGCCAGGUUCUACCGCGUGGCUGGCGCGGGUGACUCCUGUUGGGGAACGUAGUAAUUUCAAAAAAUUCCUACGCACACGCAAGAUCAUGGUGAUGCAUAGCAACGAGAGGGGAGAGUGUUGUCCACGUACCCUCGUAGACCGAAAACGGAAGCGUUAGCACAACGCGGUUGAUGUAGUCGUACGUCUUCACAAUCCGACUGAUCAAGUACCGAACGCACGGCACCUCCGAGUUCAGCACACGUUCAGCCCGAUGACGUCCCUCGAACUCCGAUCCAGCCGAGUGUUGAGGGAGAGUUUCGUCAGCAUGACGGCGUGGUGACGAUGAUGAUGUUCUACCGAUGCAGGGCUUUGCCUAAGCACCGCUACAGUAUUAUCGAGGUGGACUAUGGUGGAGGAGGGCACCACACACGGCCAAAGUAUCAAACGAUCAAUUGUUGUGUUUCUAGGGUGCCCCCCUACCCCCAUAUAUAAAGGAGCAAGGGGGGAGGUGCGGCCGGCCAGGAGGGGGCGCGCCAGGAGGAGUCCUACUCCCACCGGGAGUAGGACUCCCUCCCUUUUCCUUGUUGGAUUAGGAGUGGAGGGGGAAAGAGGAGGGAGAGAGGAAGGAAAGGGGGGCGACGCCCCCCUCUCCUUGUCCUAUUCGGACUAGGGGAGGGAGAGUUGAGGGAGAAAUCAGCACACGUUCAGCCCGAUGACGUCCCUCGAACUCCGAUCCAGCCGAGUGUUGAGGGAGAGUUUCGUCAGCAUGAUGGCGUGGUGACGAUGAUGAUGUUCUACCGACGCAGGGCUUCGCCUAAGCACCGCUACAGUAUUAUCGAGGUGGACUAUGGUGGAGGGGGGCACCGCACACGGCUAAAGGAUCAAACGAUCAAUUGUUGUGUCUCUAGGGUGCCCCCUGCCCCUGUAUAUAAAGGAGCAAGGGGGGGUGCGGCCGGCCAGGAGGGGGCGCGCCAGGAGGAGUCCUACUCCCAUCGGGAGUAGGACUCCCACCCUUUUCCUUGUUGGAUUAGGAGUGGAGGGGGAAAGAGGAGGGAGAGAGGAAGGAAAGGGGGGCGCCGCCCCCCUCUCCUUGUCCUAUUCGGACUAGGGGGGAGGGGCGCGCGGCCCUGCCCUGGCCGCCUCUCCUCUUCUCCACAAAGGCCCACUAUGGCCCAUUAAGCCCCGAGGGUUCUGGUAACCCCUCGGUACUCCGAUAAAAUCCCGAUUUCACCCGGAACACUUCCGAUAUCCAAAUAUAGGCUUCCAAUAAAUCAAUCUUCAUGUCUCGACCAUUUCGAGACUACUCGUCAUGUCCGUGAUCACAUCCGGGACUCCUAACAACCUUCGGUACAUCAAAACUCAUAAACUCAUAAUAUAACUGUCAUCGCAACUUUAAGCGUGCGGACCCUACGGGUUCGAGAACUAUGUAGACAUGACCGAGACACGUCUCCGGUCAAUAACCAAUAGCGGAACCUGGAUGCUCAUAUUGGCUCCCACAUAUUAUACGAAGAUCUUUAUCGGUCAGACCGCAUAACAACAUACGUUGUUCCCUUUGUCAUCGGUAUGUUACUUGCCCGAGAUUCGAUCGUCGGUAUCUUAAUACCUAGUUCAAUCUCGUUACCGGCAAGUCUCUUUACUCGUUCCGUAAUACAUCAUCCCGCAACUAACUCAUUAGCUGCAAUGCUUGCAAGGCUUAUAGUGAUGUGCAUUACCGAGUGGGCCCAGAGAUACCUCUCCGACAAUCGGAGUGAAAAUCCUAAUCUCGAAAUACGCCAACCCAACAAGUACCUUCGGAGACACCUGUAGAGCACCUUUAUAAUCACCCAGUUACGUUUGUGACGUUUGAUAGCACACAAAGUGUUCCUCCGGUAAACGGGAGUUGCAUAAUCUCAUAGUCAUAGGAACAUGUAUAAGUCAUGAAGAAAGCAAUAGCAACAUACUAAACGAUCAAGUGCUAAGCUAACGGAAUGGGUCAAGUCAAUCACAUCAUUCUCCUAAUGAUGUGAUCCCGUUAAUCAAACGACAACUCUUUGUCCAUGGCUAGGAACAUAACCAUCUUUGAUCAACGAGCUAGUCAAGUAGAGGCAUACUAGUGACACUCUGUUUAUCUAUGUAUUCACACAUGUAUCAUGUUUCCGGUUAAUACAAUUCUAGCAUGAAUAAUAAACAUUUAUCAUGAAAUAAGGAAAUAAAUAAUAACUUUAUUAUUGCCUCUAGGGCAUAUUUCCUUCAGUCUCCCACUUGCACUAGAGUCAAUAAUCUAGUUCACAUCGUCAUGUGAUUUAACACCAAUAGUUCACAUCUUUAUGUGAUCAGUUCACAUUGCUAUGUGACUAACACCCAAAGGGUUUACUAGAGUCAAUAAUCUAGUUCACAUCGCUAUGUGAUUAACACCCAAAGAGUACUAAGUGUGAUCAUGUUUUGCUUAUGAGAGAAGUUUAGUCAACGGGUCUGCCACAUUCAGAUCCGUAUGUAUUUCGCAAAUUUAUAUGUCUACAAUGCUCUGCACGGAGCUACUCUAGCUAAUUGCUCUCACUAUGUAUCUAGAUCGAGACUUAGAGUCAUCUGGAUCAGUGUCAAAACUUGCAUCGACGUAACCCUUUACGACGAACCUUUUGUCACCUCCAUAAUCGAGAAACAUAUCCUUAUUCCACUAAGGAUAGUUUUUGACCACUGUCCAGUGAUCUACUCCUAGAUCACUAUUGUACUUCCUUGCUAAACACAGUGUAGGGUAUACAAUAGAUCUGGUACACAGCAUGGCAUACUUUAUAGAACCUAUGGCUGAGGCACAAGGAAUGACUUUCAUUCUCUUUCUAUCUUCUGCCGUCGUCGGGCUUUGAGUCUUACUCAAUUUCACACCUUGUAACACAGGCAAGAACUCUUUCUUUGACUAUUCUAUUUUGAACUACUUCAAAAUCUUGUCAAGGUAUGUACUCAUUGAAAAAACUUAUCAAGCGUCUUGAUCUAUCUCUAUAGAUCUUUAUGCUCAAUAUGUAAGCAGCUUCACUGAGGUCUUUCUUUGAAAAACUCCUUUCAAAUACUCCUUUAUGCUUUGCAUAAUAAUUCUACAUUAUUUCGAUCAACAAUAUGUCAUUCACAUAUACUUAUCAGAAAUGUUGUAGUGCUCCCACUCACUUUCUUGUAAAUACAGGCUUCACCGUAAGUCUGUAUAAAACUAUAUGCUUUGAUCAACUCAUCAAAGCGUAUAUUCCAACUCUGAGAUGCUUGCACCAGUCCAUAGAAGGAUCGCUGGAGCUUGCAUAUUUUGUUAGCACCUUUAGGAUUGACAAAACCUUCUGGUUGCAUCAUAUACAACUCUUCUUUAAUAAAUCCAUUAAGGAAUGUAGUUUUGUUUAUCCAUUUGCCAGAUUUCAUAAAAUGCGGCAAUUGCCAACAUGAUUCGGACAGACUUAAGCAUAGAUACGAGUGAGAAACUCUCAUCGUAGUCAACACCUUGAACUUGUCGAAAACCUUUUGCGACAAUUCUAGCUUUGUAGAUAGUAACACUACUAUCAACGUCCGUCUUCCUCUUGAAGAUCCAUUUAAUCUCAAUGGCUCACCAAUCAUCGGGCAAGUCAAUCAAAGUCCAUACUUUGUUCUUAUACAUGGAUCCCAUCUCAGAUUUCAUGGCCUUAAACCAUUUUGCGGAAUCUGGGCUCAUCAUCGCUUCCUCAUAGUUCGUAGGUUCGUCAUGGUCAAGUAACAUGACCUCCAGAACAGGAUUAACGUACCACUCUGGUGCGGAUCUUACUCUGGUUUACCUACGAGAUUCGGUAGUAACUUGAUCUGAAGUUUCAUGAUCAUCAUCAUUAGCUUCCUUACUAAUUGGUGUAGGAGUCACAGGAACAGAUUUCUGUGAUAAACUACUUUCCAAUAAGGGAGCAGGUACAGUUACCUCAUCAAGUUCUACUUUCCUCCCACUCACUUCUUUCGAGAGAAACUCCUUCUCUAGAAAGGAUCCAUUCUUAGCAACGAAUGUCUUGCCUUCGGAUCUGUGAUAGAAGGUGUACCCAACUGUCUCCUUUGGGUAUCCUAUGAAGACACAAUUCUCCAAUUUGGGUUCGAGCUUAUCAGGUUGAAACUUUUUCACAUAAGCAUCGUAACCCCAAACUUUAAGAAACGAUAGCUUAGGUUUCUUGCUAAACCAUAGUUCAUACGGUGUCGUCUCAACGGAUUAGACGGUGCCCUAUUAACGUGAAUGCAGCUGUCUCUAAUGCAUAACCCCAAAACGAUAGUGGUAAAUCGGUAAGAGACAUCAUAGAUUGCACUAUAUCCAAUAAAGUACGGUUAUGACGUUCGGACACACCAUUACGCUGUGGUGUUCCGGGUGGCGUGAGUUGCGAAACUAUUCCGCAUUGUUUCAAAUGUAGACCAAACUCAUAAUCAAAUAUUCUCCUCCACGAUCUGAUCGUAGAAACUUUAUUUUCUUGUUACGAUGAUUUUCAACUUCACUCUGAAAUUCUUUGAACUUUUCAAAUGUUUCAGACUUAUGUUUCAUUAAGUAGAUAUACCCAUAUCUGCUCAAAUCAUCUGUGAAGGUGAGAAAAUAACGAUAUCCGCCACGAGCCUCAAUAUUCAUCGGACCACAUACAUCUGUAUGUAUGAUUUCCAACAAAUAUGUUGCUCUCUCCAUAGUACCGGAGAACGGCGUUUUAGUCAUCUUGCCCAAGAGGCAUGGUUCGCAAGCAUCAAGUGAUUCCAAAAGCCCAUCAGCAUGGAGUUUCUUCAUGCGCUUUACACCAAUAUGACCUAAACGGCAGUGCCACAAAUAAGUUGCACUAUCAUUAUUAACUUUGCAUCUUUUGGCUUCAAUAUUAUGAAUAUGUGUAUCACUACGAUCGAGAUCCAACGAACCAUUUUCAUUGGGUGUGUAACCAUAUAAGGUUUUAUUCAUGUAAAUAGAACAACAAUUAUUCUCUAACUUAAAUGAAUAACCGUAUUGCAAUAAACAUGAUCAAAUCAUAUUCAUGCUCAACGCAAACACCAAAUAACACUUAUUUAGGUUCAACACUAAUCCUGAAAGUAUAGGGAGUGUGCGAUGAUGAUCAUAUCAAUCUUGGAACCACUUCCAAUACACAUCGUCACUUCAUCCUUAACUAGUUUCUGUUCAUUAUGCAACUCCCAUUUCGAGUUACUACUCUUUAGCAACUGAACCAGUAUCAAGUACCGAGGGGUUGCUAUAAACACUAGUAAAGUACACAUCAAUAACAUGUAUAUCAAAUAUACUUUUGUUCACUUUGCCAUCUUUCUUAUGCGCCAAUUGUUUGGGGUAGUACCGCUUCCAGUGACCAGUCCUUUUUGCAGUAGAAGCACUCAGUAUCAGGCUUAGGUCCAAACUUGGGCUUCUUCACUUGAGCAGCAACUUGCUUGUCGUUCUUCUUGAAGUUCCCCUUCUUUUCCCUUUGCCCUUUUCUUGAAACUAGUGAUCUUGUUAACCAUCAACACUUGAUGCUCUUUUCUUGAUUUCUACCUUCGCCGAUCUCAACAUCACGAAGAGCUCGGGAAUCACUUUCGUCAUCCCUUGCAUAUUAUAGUUCAUCACGAAGUUCUACUAACUUGGUGAUGGUGACUAGAGAAUUAUGUCAAUCACUAUUUUAUCUGGAAAAUUAACUCCCACUUGAUUCAAGCGAUUGUAGUACCCAGAUAAUCUGAGCAUAUGCUCACUGCUUGAGCUAUUCUCCUCCAUCUUUUAGCUAUAGAACUUGUUGGAGACUUCAUAUCUCUCAACUCGGGUAUUUGCUUGAAAUAUUAACUUCAACUCCUGGAACAUCUCAUAUGGUCCAUGACGUUCAAAACGUCUUUGAAGUCCCGAUUCUAAGCCAUUAAGCAUGAUGCACUAAACUAUCAAGUAGUCAUCAUAUUGAGCUAGCCAAACGUUCAUAACGUCUGCAUCUGCUCCUGCAAUAGGUCUGUCACCUAGCGGUGCAUCAAGGACAUAAUUCUUCUGUGCAGCAAUGAGGAUAAUCCUCAGAUCACGGAUCCAAUCCGCAUCAUUGCUACUAACAUCUUUCAACUCAGUUUUCUCUAGGAACAUAUCAAAAUAAAACAGGGGAGCUAAACGCGAGCUAUUGAUCUACAACAUAUAUAUGCUAAUACUACCAGGACUAAGUUCAUGAUAAAUUAAAGUUCAAUUAAUCAUAUUACUUAAGAACUCCCACUUAGAUAGACAUCCCUUUAAUCCUCUAAGUGAUCACAUGAUCCAUAUCAACUAAACCAUAACCGAUCAUCGCGUGAAAUGGAGUAGCUUUCAAUGGUGAACAUCAUUAUGUUGAUCAUAUCUACUAUAUGAUUCACGCUCGACCUUUCGGUCUCAGUGUUCCGAGGCCAUAUCUGCAUAUGCUAGGCUCGUCAAGUUUAACCUGAGUAUUCUGCGUGUGCAAAACUGGCUUGCACCCAUUGUAGAUGGACGUAGAGCUUAUCACACCCGAUCAUCACGUGGUGUCUGGGCACGACGAACUUUGGCAACGGUGCAUACUCAGGGAGAACACUUUUAUCUUGAAAUUUAGUGAGAGAUCAUCUUAUAAUGCUACCGUCAAUCAAAGCAAGAUAAGAUGCAUAAAAGAUAAACAUCACAUGCAAUCAAUAUAAGUGAUAUGAUAUGGCCAUCAUCAUCUUGUGCUUGUGAUCUCCAUCUCCGAAGCACCGUCAUGAUCACCAUCUUCACCGGCGCGACACCUUGAUCUCCAUUGUAGAAUCGUUGUCGUCUCGCCAAUCUUAUGCUUCUACGACUAUCGCUACCGCUUAGUGAUAAAGUAAUGCAUUACAGGGCGAUUGCACUGCAUACAAUAAAGCGACAACCAUAUGGCUCCUGCCAGUUGCCGAUAACUCGGUUACAAAACAUGAUAAUCUCAUAUAAUAAAAUUUAGCAUCAUUUCUUGACCAUAUCACAUCACAACAUGCCCUGCAAAAACAAGUUAGACGUCCUCUACUUUGUUGUUGCAAGUUUUACGUGGCUGCUACUGGGCUUAGCAAGAACCGUUCUUACCUACGCAUCAAAACCACAACGAUAGUUUGUCAAGUUGGUGCUGUUUUAACCUUCGCAAGGACCGGGCGUAGCCACACUUGGUUCAACUAAAGUUGGAGAAACUGACACCCCGCCAGCCACCUAUGUGCAAAGCACGUCGGUAGAACCAGUCUCGCGUAAGCGUACGCGUAAUGUCGGUCCGGGCCACUUCAUCCAACAAUACCGUCGAACCAAAAUAUGACAUGCUGGUAAGCAGUAUGACUUAUAUCGCCCACAACUCACUUGUGUUCUACUCGUGCAUAUAACAUCAACGCAUAAAACCUGGCUCGGAUGCCACUGUUGAGGAACGUAGUAAUUUCAAAAAAAUUCCUACGCACACGCAAGAUCAUGGUGAUGCAUAGCAACGAGAGGGGAGAGUGCUGUCCACGUACCCUCGUAGACCGAAAGCGGAAGCGUUAGCACAACGCGGUUGAUGUAGUCGUAUGUCUUCACGAUCCGACCGAUCAAGUACCGAACGCACGGCACCUCCGAGUUCAGCACACGUUCAGCCCGAUGACGUCCCUCGAACUCCGAUCCAGCCGAGUGUUGAGGGAGAGUUUCGUCAGCAUGACGGCGUGGUGACGAUGAUGAUGUUCUACCGAUGCAGGGCUUCGCCUAAGCACCGCUACAGUAUUAUCGAGGUGGACUAUGGUGGAGGGGGGCACCACACACGGCUAAAGUAUCAAACGAUCAAUUGUUGUGUUUCUAGGGUGCCCCCUGCCCCCAUAUAUAAAGGAGCAAGGGGGGAGGUGCGGCCGGCCAGGAGGGGGCGCGCCAGGAGGAGUCCUACUCCCACCGGGAGUAGGACUCCCUCCCUUUUCCUUGUUGGAUUAGGAGUGGAGGGGGAAAGAGGAGGGAGAGAGGAAGGAAAGGGGGCGACGCCCCCCUCUCCUUGUCCUAUUCGGACUAGGGGAGGGGCACGCGGCCCUGCCCUGCCCGCCUCUCCUCUUCUCCACAAAGGCCCACUAUGGCCCAUUAAGCCCCCGGGGGGUUCCGGUAACCCCUCGGUACUCCGGUAAAAUCCCGAUUUCACCCGGAACACUUCCGAUAUCCAAAUAUAGGCUUCCAAUAUACUCCCUCCGUUCCAAAAUAGAUGACCCAACUUUAUACUAAAGUUAGUACAAAGUUGAGUCAUCUAUUUUGGAACGGAGGGAGUAUCAAUCUUCAUGUCUCGACCAUUUCGAGACUCCUCGUCAUGUCCGUGAUCACAUCCGGGACUCCGAACAACCUUCGGUACAUCAAAACUCAUAAACUCAUAAUAUAAUUGUCAUCGAAACUUUAAGCGUGCGGACCCUACGGGUUCGACAACUAUGUGACAUGACCGAGACACGUCUCCGGUCAAUAACCAAUAACGGAACCUGGAUGCUCAUAUUGGCUCCCACAUAUUCUACGAAGAUCUUUAUCGGUCAGACCGCAUAACAACAUACGUUGUUCCUUUUGUCAUCGGUAUGUUACUUGCCCGAGAUUCGAUCGUCGGUAUCUUAAUACCUAGUUCAAUCUCGUUACCGGCAAGUCUCUUUACUCGUUCCGUAAUACAUCAUCAGACCGGCGUGCUGACCUCUCUGUUGUGCCUAGGUGGGGUUGCGACGUGUUGAUCUUCCGCGGCCGGGCAUGACCCAGAAAAGUGUGUUCGGCCAAAUGGGAUCGAGCGUGUUGGGUUAUGUGGUGCACCCCUGCAGGGAAGUUUAUCUAUUCGAAUAGCCGUGUCCCUCGGUAAAAGGACGACCCGGAUUUGUACCUUGACCUUAUGACAACUAGAACCGGAUACUUAAUAAAACACACCCUUCCAAGUGCCAGAUAGAACCCGGUGAUCGCUCUCUAACAGGGCGACGAGGAGGGGAUCGCCGGGUAGGAUUAUGCUAUGCGAUGCUACUUGGAGGACUUCAAUCUACUCUCUUCUACAUGCUGCAAGAUGGAGGCUGCCAGAAGCGUAGUCUUCGACAGGACUAGCUACCCCCCCUUAUUCUGGCAUUCUGCAGUUCAGUCCACUGAUAUGGUCCUUUACACAUAUACCCAUGCAUAUGUAGUGUAGCUCCUUGCUUGCGAGUACUUUGGAUGAGUACUCACGGUUGCUUUUCUCCCUCUUUUCCCCUUUCUAUACCUGGUUGUCGCAACCAGAUGCUGGAGUCCAGGAGCUAGAGAUCCCGAGGAUGAUUCUACAUGGAGUUCGGCUUCGAGGAGUAGUUAGGAGGUCCCAGGCAGGAGGCCUUGCCUUUUCGAUUGUUGCUACUUUUGUGCUAGCCUUCUUAAGUCAAACUUGUUUAACUUAUGUCUGUACUCAGAUAUUGUUGCUUCCGCUGACUCGUCUAUGAUCGAGCACUUGUAUUCGAGCCAUCGAGGCCCCUGGCUUGUAUUAUGAUGCUUGUAUGACUUAUUUAUGUUUUAGAGUUGUGUUGUGAUAUCUUCCCGUGAGUCCCUGAUCUUGAUCGUACACGUUUGCGUGCAUGAUUAGUGUACGAUUGAAUCGGGGGCGUCACAAGUUGGUAUCAGAGCCGACUGCCUGUAGGAAUCCCCCUUUCCACACUCCUUGGCCGAAGUCGAGUCUAGACAUUACAAAACUUUUACUAACAUGGUUGUGUGUCUUACGGGCCCACGUCGCCAUUGGGUGGCAUUAGGAUCUUUUAUUCCUCAUCUAUACUCUAGGACUCAAAGCUCUCUUCUAUUCGGGUUAAAUGAUUUUGCUAAAAACAAAACUAACUUUAGGUUCUCGAAAAUACUAUCUCCCGGAGAGCCCCUCACUUCAGAUGAUCGUCUGCUGCACAUGAAGACCCUGAAGAUACUCUCCGCUGUUAACCCGAUAUCCCCUUAUGGAUAACUACCUACAAUUGUCGUUCAUACCUUCAUUCUCAGUUGCUCUUGUUAUUACAAGAUGCCCUAAAUUGCUCUCCGUUGUUCCGAAAAUCCUUUAAGCUUACUGCCUUGCAGUUCUUUACCACAUGAAUACCCCUAUUGAAGAUUCCUCGCACUUAUUGAGUAUCCGUUCAUCCCCAGUUGUUCGUAUGCUUCAUAAGAUACUCUGAAAUACUAUCCGACCUUCUGAGCAUCCUCUUCGAACUAUUGCUCUGCAAAUACUUGUAUGCUUACAUUAUGGAUGCUCCCAUAUCACUAGCAAUAUUCAUUAGUAUCUUUUGACAUUAUCAUUUUGAACCUAUUGAUUCAAGAUGUGUGCGAAGCACACAAUCAUCAAUCGACCCUUCUAAAUUAUCUUUCCGGCUCAGACGUCAUUUUGAACAUGAGCUGGUUCUCGACCAAACUAUUUGUCGUCGAUUGUGCAUCGGGUCUAUUUAGUUUAUCCAUCAUUGAUCAGAGCGUCUGCUUCUGAUCCUUCGUUUUGGAAAUCAUAAUUCCUUUGUUAUCUAAGCAUCGAAUUAUUCAGAUGUUCUAUAAUCUGACGCCCUUGCAUUAUUUCUUCCUUUGAUUGAGUACUGAUACUCACAUCAGCUUCGUUGUGGAUCGCCCGAUCCAUUGUUGGAUUUCAUCCGACAUCGUCCUUCAUAUUCAAUAACCUUGUGAGCCUUUCCAUGGGUAUAUAAUGCCUUUGGUAAAUUGUAUCGUCUGCUUUGUCAACCAUGCUCUACUUUUGAGCUUGUGUUAUUUACUUCUGAAGUUCGUGGUAUAUGUUCUAAGAAGCCCCGAUGGCUUGAACCUAUGCCUUCCUUAAUAUGUGUGAACUCGAAAGUUUUCACGAGUCAUACUCUUCUGGUAUUUUGCCAUAUAAAAUUUGAACACUACAACUUCAUCGAACGCGAGAAGUAAAUGAAAGGAUAUGCAUUGGAGAAGUGGGAGUCGACCUUGAACUUUGUGUUCAUGCCCAUGGACACGAUGUAGAUCUUCUCAUCGAAGCUUCUUUUAACAUUAGUUAUUCCCUUGGUAUAAGUUCAUCUUAUAUCCGGGAUUUGGCCUUUUGCAAUCGUGGUUCCGACCACGUUCUCCUUUAAAUACCAUUUCUCAUGCAAGUUUAAGCACUUGUCUUCUGCAGAGCAAUACCCAGUCCAACCUCUACUUUGAUCUGUCGUCGAGUAUUACCCCCCUGGUAUCUUGAGAUUAUCUUGGAACUGCAUAAUUUCUUAUGAGUUCUUCAUCAAGUACUACAUUCUCACUGAUUACAAUUUUUCAUGGGCUCUGAGUUAUUAAACACCCAAAGACAACGAUAACUGAACCGAGUCUGCACUACGGUUCAACGACACUUGAUAAUCUUCUUUAAGUACGAGUUUGUACCCGAUCACGCCAUUCCUAGCCUGUAUGGCUAUAUCAUUGUCGUGGUGAUUUUAACUGUGCUACCUGGUCCUUAUUCUUGGAGCACCACUUCGAUGAUGAGCUAAGCUGAUGUCGAUUUUCCUUGUCAUAUCAUUUCACCUUGAAUAGCAAGCUUGAUUUCAAGUUUGUGUCGUACCCUUGGUUCCAAUAACUUUUCGCUUCACCAUUCCUUUGACUUGAUGUCAUUACCGAUCGAUUACAUCUUCAAGAAACCUCUCGACAAGUGUGUCGUGAUCAUCGUCAACAUUUUAACUUCUUCCGAGAUAUCAAUUGAAUUCAUGAUGAGAAAUUCCAUGCUUGUCCCUCGAUGAUCUGUGUUAUCAUCGACCACAUCCAUGCCUUCCUUUCAAACACAGACUUGGUCUUGUUUUGAAUGAACUUUAAGUUCCUCGCUAUCCAUCAAUUGUUCUUCUUUACCUUGGAACAUUAACAUCUCUUUUGUCCUCAAUGUUGUGAGAAUUUCACCACCUCUUAAGAAAUCUUGGUAUGGUGAUACUUCUCACCAUCACCAUUCCUUCUUGGGUCCUCGUGUUGAUUCCAACCGGGGUACCAACGAGUGAGCGGUGCUGUUUGGAUCCUGCCCUUCUAGCAACCCUAUUGCUUUGAAGUUAAUGGUCGGCCGUUCAUUCUUAGACUAUUGAUUAUUGAAUCACCAUUCCGACGUUGGUCGUGCAACCCAGCCCAUAUUUCGGGUGCACCUUUCAACCAAUGUUUAAUUGUGUAUGUUUUCCUCGGGCAUACAUCAUUAUACCAUUUGAUCUGACAAAUGUUAUCUCCUUGUUCACAUGAUUGUGGAAAUCCAUCUUUUUGGAAAUCUCGAGGAAUUGUCGCUGAGUCCAUCAGCCACCCCCUCAUCCUCUCCUUGAUUUAAUGAUGAACUCUUGUUUCGGAACUCGCUUCCAUGGUUUAAUUCCCGAGAAUCAUACAAUGUCACCUCGACAAUUUGUGUUGCACCUUUCUUCUUAGGCAUCCUGAGUCUGAGGUAUCCUGACACCAAUCUGAUCUGAAUCUUGGUCAGAAAUGAUGGUUGGAACAUAAUUCCAAGAGUUAUAACAUUGGUCUUUAUAUAACCCGGUAAGAUGAUGUCAUGCCUAGCACACCUGGCCGGAUGACCUAUUGAUAUAGUAUCCUCUUUACCAAGGUUAGCCAUUCUUCCAUGAGGAAAUUGUAAGACUUAUUCCAUAAGUUGUUCCUGAUGGAUCCUUUGUGUAUCCAUAGCCUGAUCUUUACCUAAUGACCAUGUCAAUGCUAUCUCGAAGCAUGUCUGUGGUACUCCGAUUUUCAACAAGAACAUUUGAAGCCCAAUGCUAAAUGUUUCUUGCUCAAUUAUCCAAACACCGUUGUUCGGGUAAUGACAUAAAAUUCCUCUCCCCUUACCUAAAUGGUUUUCUACAUUAUAUCCUGUCACGGAUAUCAUGCCCCGCUUGCUCUUGGGGAAGGAUAUAUCCCUGAAAUAUGUGCUUAAACACAUUUUCCUUUCCAUUGUUCUGUUUACUCUGAUAAACAUAUUUUCCUUUCCAUUGUUUGGUUUAACCUUUCUUGUGAUCUAUAUAAUCUAAGCAUUAAUAUUCCCUGCUUAUGUAAACACCUCGGUGUACAAUUCUGUCAGUAAGACCCUGUUACUUUUGUUGAUGACAUUCCGGUAACCGCCGAUGGACGAGAACUUUGCCUACUGGUCCGCCUCGUUUCAACGAGCAGGAAAAUGGUUCUCUUCGUCCCUCGCCCUUGGUACCGACGUUGUUGCCGACAUAAUCGACAGGCUACCCUCUAACAUGUCUUGCUAUCAUGACCGUGCAACAUGUCACCGUUCCUCCUACUUUUAAUCCACAUGGUGGGCCCAUAACCCACAGUUCCACAGGAUCGAAACCUGACUCUCCUGUACACCCCCUGUUCCCAAGGUUGUUCCUCACGCGUGGCCUCGUAUGUAAUUCACGGACCACCUUCCUAGUGAUCUAUUUUGGUAACACAAGCAAUACUUAUUCCCGUUGCUCUGGACCCCUUUCACACUUUGUUUCAGGCAACGAAAGAUUGCCUACAUGCUUGAAACUUCCCAUGAUACCUCCUUACUUUACUCUCGAUAUCUUCUUAAAGUUCCAGUUCGAGAGUUACUUUCCGCCACCUUCCCCGAUAUUAGCUACCAGAUAGUCAACCUUGCAGAGGUCCGUUGUCCCGGAAUACCCCCUUUAUACAUUCGUAAGUACGAUUGAGUUCCAGAAGAAAGGAUGCCGACUUCAGCAUGAUGACCUGAAGCAGAGAAAUGAAGACAUCAACAUAAUGGAUCGACCUCUCUAAGAAUAGCAACCAAGACCGAGAAGACUCGUUAGAAUUUCGCGACCAAAUCCCUUCCCCCUUACUCCCCCUCUUAAAUCUCGGGACGAGAUUCUUGUAGAGGAGGAGAAUUGUGACGCCCGGGUAAUUAAGCUAUAGCAAUCCCACGCUAAUGGUGCCACGUUACCUCCGUUACUGUUGCUAAUCUAUCGUUAGAUCAAAACCGGUCCAAAUUUCAAAUUCAAAAUUUGGUAAAUAAUAAAAGUUUUCAAACAUUAAAAUAAAAAUGUUCGGUUUGUACUAAAUAUUACAUAGAUAAUUAUGGUGUAGAAGACACAGUUUUAUAAAAUGCAUAAAUAUUUUAAAUUGAAUUAAAACAGAAGAGAAAAUAAAUAAAAGAAAGAAAAUACAAAAGACAAAAAAAAGAGGAACCCCCCGGGCUUCGGCCCAGCUGACCACAGGCCCAACUGGGCCAACCCACCAGGCCCAGCCGGCCACUCCUCCCCCACUCCCUCUUAUCCACUUCCCCCCGAAACCCUAGCACCCCACUCCCCACUCGCUCCUCCCAUGUUCCCCUCUCUCCCUCNNNNNNNNNNNNNNNNNNNNNNNNNNNNNNNNNNNNNNNNNNNNNNNNNNNNNNNNNNNNNNNNNNNNNNNNNNNNNNNNNNNNNNNNNNNNNNNNNNNNNNNNNNNNNNNNNNNNNNNNNNNNNNNNNNNNNNNNNNNNNNNNNNNNNNNNNNNNNNNNNNNNNNNNNNNNNNNNNNNNNNNNNNNNNNNNNNNNNNNNNNNNNNNNNNNNNNNNNNNNNNNNNNNNNNNNNNNNNNNNNNNNNNNNNNNNNNNNNNNNNNNNNNNNNNNNNNNNNNNNNNNNNNNNNNNNNNNNNNNNNNNNNNNNNNNNNNNNNNNNNNNNNNNNNNNNNNNNNNNNNNNNNNNNNNNNNNNNNNNNNNNNNNNNNNNNNNNNNNNNNNNNNNNNNNNNNNNNNNNNNNNNNNNNNNNNNNNNNNNNNNNNNNNNNNNNNNNNNNNNNNNNNNNNNNNNNNNNNNNNNNNNNNNNNNNNNNNNNNNNNNNNNNNNNNNNNNNNNNNNNNNNNNNNNNNNNNNNNNNNNNNNNNNNNNNNNNNNNNNNNNNNNNNNNNNNNNNNNNNNNNNNNNNNNNNNNNNNNNNNNNNNNNNNNNNNNNNNNNNNNNNNNNNNNNNNNNNNNNNNNNNNNNNNNNNNNNNNNNNNNNNNNNNNNNNNNNNNNNNNNNNNNNNNNNNNNNNNNNNNNNNNNNNNNNNNNNNNNNNNNNNNNNNNNNNNNNNNNNNNNNNNNNNNNNNNNNNNNNNNNNNNNNNNNNNNNNNNNNNNNNNNNNNNNNNNNNNNNNNNNNNNNNNNNNNNNNNNNNNNNNNNNNNNNNNNNNNNNNNNNNNNNNNNNNNNNNNNNNNNNNNNNNNNNNNNNNNNNNNNNNNNNNNNNNNNNNNNNNNNNNNNNNNNNNNNNNNNNNNNNNNNNNNNNNNNNNNNNNNNNNNNNNNNNNNNNNNNNNNNNNNNNNNNNNNNNNNNNNNNNNNNNNNNNNNNNNNNNNNNNNNNNNNNNNNNNNNNNNNNNNNNNNNNNNNNNNNNNNNNNNNNNNNNNNNNNNNNNNNNNNNNNNNNNGACCCCGUGCGGCCGUCGCCCUCGUGCCCGACCACCGGUGCCUGCCUCCGUCGCGCGCGCCACCCAGCGCCCGAGCGCCCUUGGGCGUGCGCCGAUCGGGCAGCGCCCGUUGCCCGUUUGGCCCUAUGGGCCACUGCCCAGUGGGGCCCCCCGCCCACGCCCCUCUGUUAAAAAAAGGGGUUUAAAAAAUGAUAAUAAUAAAUAAAAAUAUUAAAUAGUUAAUUAAUUAAUUAACUUAAUUAACUUAAUUAAUUCUAUAAGUUAUCUAAUUAAACCUAAUUAACCUGUUAAUAAAACUAACUACUGAUAAUUAGUUAGCUGUCAAUGACAAAUGGACCCCACUUGUCAGUUGACUGGUCAACGGUCAACUUUGACCGCUGACGUCAUGUUGUCAUCAUGAUGAUGCAGUAAUUCCUUUUUGAAUUAAUUAAUUAAUAAUAAUCCCAGUAAAUGAUUAAAUCUUUAUAAAAUAUUAUAAAAUAAACCGUAACUCGGAUGGAAAAACUUUGUACAUGAAAGUUGCUCAGAACGACAAGACGAAUCCGGAUACGCAGCCCGUUCGUCCACCACACAUCCCUAGCAUAGCAAACACGCAACUUUCCUCUCCGGUUCAUCUGUCCGGAAACGUGAAACACCGGGGAUACUUUCCCGGAUGUUUCCCCCUUCGCUGGUAUCACAUAUCCCUGCGUUACAUCACCCCUAGCACAACGUAUUGCCGCGUCUUGCUUUGUGUUACAUUUGAUUGCUUUGUUAUUUAUUGUGUUCCCCCUCCGUUACUUCUUUCCGGUAGGCUCCGAGACCAUUGCCGAUACCCCUGUGAUCGGCUACAUCGAUGACGACCCCUUCUUCUUGCCAGAGCAACCANNNNNNNNNNNNNNNNNNNNNNNNNNNNNNNNNNNNNNNNNNNNNNNNNNNNNNNNNNNNNNNNNNNNNNNNNNNNNNNNNNNNNNNNNNNNNNNNNNNNNNNNNNNNNNNNNNNNNNNNNNNNNNNNNNNNNNNNNNNNNNNNNNNNNNNNNNNNNNNNNNNNNNNNNACCAGAUACCGCCUAUUCUUCUCUAUACUGCUUGCAUUAGAGUAGUGUAGCAUGUUACUGAUUUCGGUUAAUCCUAUUCUGUUGCAUAGCCUGUCAUUGUUGCUACAGUUGUUACCCUUACCUGCUAUCCUACUGCUUAGUAUAGGAUGCUAGUGUUCCAUCAGUGGCCCUACACUCUUGUCUGUCUGCCAUGCUAUACUACUGGGUCGUGAUCACUUCGGGAGGUGAUCACGGGUAUAUACUAUAUAAUUUAUAUACAUGACACAUGUGGUGACUAAAGUCGGGUCGGCUCGAGAAGUACCCGCAAGUGAUUCUGAUGAGGGGGCUGAAAGGACGGGUGGCUCCAUCCCGGUAGAGGUGGGCCUGGGUUCCUGACGCCCCCCGACUGUUACUUUAUGGCGGAGCGACAGGGCAGGUUGAGAUCACCUAGGAGAGAGGUGGGCCUGGCCCUGGUCGGCGUUCGCGGAUACUUAACACACUUAACGAGAUCUUGGUAUUUGAUCUGAGUCUGGCCAUUUGGUCUAUAUGCACUAACCAACUACGCGGGAACAGUUAUGGGCACUCGACGUCGUGGUAUCAGCCGAAGCUCUUCUUGACGUCAGCGACGGAGCGGCGCGCGCCGGAUUGGACUGGAACGCCUGCUAGGCUAGGUCUGCUUCUGGCCACGGACGCAACGUGCAGGUGUGCAAUGGGCGAUGGGCCCAGACCCCUGCGCGCAUAGGAUUUAGACCGGCGUGCUGACCUCUCUGUUGUGCCUAGGUGGGGCUGCGACGUGUUGAUCUUCCGCGGCCGGGCAUGACCCAGAAAAGUGUGUCCGGCCAAAUGGGAUCGAGCGUGUUGGGUUAUGUGGUGCACCCCUGCAGGGAAGUUUAUCUAUUCGAAUAGCCAUGUCCCUCAGUAAAAGGACGACCCAGAGUUGUACCUUGACCUUAUGACAACUAGAACCGGAUACUUAAUAAAACACACCCUUCCAAGUGCCAGAUACAACCCGGUGAUCGCUCUCUAACAGGGCGACGAGGAGGGGAUCGCCGGGUAGGAUUAUGUUAUGCGAUGCUACUUGGAGGACUUCAAUCUACUCUCUUCUACAUGCUGCAAGAUGGAGGCUGCCAGAAGCGUAGUCUUCGACAGGACUAGCUAUCCCCCCUUAUUCUGGCAUUCUGCAGUUCGGUCCACUGAUAUGGUCCUUUACACAUAUACCCAUGCAUAUGUAGUGUAGCUCCUUGCUUGCGAGUACUUUGGAUGAGUACUCACGGUUGCUUUUCUCCCUCUUUUCCCCUUUCUAUACCUGGUUGUCGCAACCAGAUGCUGGAGUCCAGGAGCUAGAGAUCCCGAGGAUGAUUCUACAUAGAGUUCGGCUUCGAGGAGUAGUUAGGAGGUCCCAGGCAGGAGGCCUUGCCUUUUCGAUCGUUGUUACUUUUGUGCUAGCCUUCUUAAGGCAAACUUAUUUAACUUAUGUCUGUACUCAGAUAUUGUUGCUUCCGCUGACUCGUCUAUGAUCGAGCACUUGUAUUCGAGCCCUCGAGGCCCCUGGCUUGUAUUAUGAUGCUUGUAUGACUUAUUUAUGUUUUAGAGUUGUGUUGUGAUAUCUUCCCGUGAGUCCCUGAUCUUGAUCGUACACGUUUGCAUGCAUGAUCUUGAUCGUAAACUUGUCGACCGAUCCCGCCACCAUCGGGAGCCCGCACGCUGCUGGGAAUCCCAUCUGGGCGCUCGUGCACCGCCGCGAGCCCGCUGCCUCCGAGAUCCGCCACACCGUCGAGAGGGCCACACCCCGCGGAUCAAGACGCCCGCGCCGCCGCGGAUCCGGAAGAGGGAGGAGAGACCCUCCGCCGCCGCCGUCGCACGCACGGGCUUUGCCCGGCGCCGACCAUUGGCAGUGGCGGAGGAAGAGAAGGGCGCAGGAGGGUUACGCGGCGGCGCCGGCAGCUGAGCCCUCCCGAGCCGCCCGCGGGGGAGGCGACGCGAGAGCGGCGAGAUGGUAGGCAUUUGCUUGAUUGAUUCAUGCUGCAGCAGGUUAGAACCUGAACCGGAUUUGAAUCCAAGAACACACUAAUUGCAACUGCGCAAGAUUUUGGUAUCUAAGAAAUCUGAACCCAAGAACUCUCUGACAGCAACACUCUCAUCCAAUGCAAGCACAAUUCUCCUCUUCUUACCGUGGGACAACAUGGUCAGAACACCCGCCAGCAUGUAAUUAUACAGAGCCUGAAACUGAAACGAGCGUAAGAAGCCGUUGCCUCUGAUCGAUGACGUGGGCGAAAUGGUAGGCAACAGGAAACCAGCCGUGGCUGGCGGGAAUUUUGGAAUUUUUCCGUGGGGUGCUGCACCGUCCGGUUUGGCGGCGACUAAAUUGAUUCACAGCCAGUUGUUACCGGGGUUGAAGUAUAUAUAUUCAUAAAGCAACAAUUGAUCCACGUUGAUACAAUAAGACAGCCCGAGAGAAUACAACUGUGCGCCUUCUGCGAGCUCAGUGAUGUCUGCACACCCUAUAAGUUGUGGCGCGCCUUCUGUGAGCCAUGCUUACUAAGACAAAAUUCGGUAACUAUAUGCUUCUUUUGAGAAAGGCGGCUACCGUUUCUUUUGAGAAAGUUUGUUAAAUCAUAAGAUAUUCAUGGACUUAAAAGACUCUUGGAUUUCUAAAACUGUAGCAAAUUAAAAAACGUAAAUUUUAGAAAAAAUGUUUCAAUCUUUCUAAAAUAUUAAUGGAUUUAAAAAAUUACAAAUUUGAAAUAAAGUUCACAAAUUUUAUUUUAUUUACAAACAUUAAUAAUGUUCAUGAACUUUAAGAAUAUUGAUGAAUUUAAAAAAUGUCAUAAGGUUCCAAAUAUGUUAUGGGAUUUUUAAAAAAAUCACAUUUUUUUAAGAUUUUUUCGUCCUUGAUGUCAAUCGCCGGUCGUUGUGUGAGCCCCUUGCGAGCUCCUAUUCCGCACCGAAACCAUGGAAUUGCUACUAUAACGCUCAUAUGGGCCGGCCCAAGAAGCUCCUUCUCACUCAGCUCGGCUCCCUGGUCCACUCACUUGCUUAGCACCCCCAAAAAAACUCACUUGCUUAGCAUAUUUUUCCCGGCAUGCUCCAUCGAUAUCUUAUAAACAGGCGGCUAUCAUUUUAUUUUGAAAAAGUUUGUUAUACCAAAGGAUGUUAAUGGAUUUUAAAAACUCUUGGAUUUUUUAAACGGUUCAAAAUUUUAAAAAAUGAUUUGAAUUUUAAAUAUAUUCAUGGAUUUAAAAAAUGUUCACAAUUUUAAUCCUUGAGCUUUAAGAAUAUUCACAAAUUUAAAAUAUAUUCAUGAAUUUCAAAAUAUGUUAUGGGAUUUAAAUAAUUCACAACUUUUUAAAUUUCAUGAUUUUAAAUAUGAAAAUGUUCACAUUUUGGCCUCGAUAUCAGCCGUUGGUCGUUGUGUGAGCCCCCUGGGAGCUCCUAUUGCACACCAAAACCAUAAAAUUGCGACUAUAACACUCACAUGGGCCGGCAACUCCCGCUCAGACCAUAUCGGCUAGGAGAAUAAUGGUCAGGAGGAGGGCAAGGCUGAGCUUGAAGACCAUAAGUAGUUGAGAUAGACGACACACCAUAAGUAGAUGGCGCAUCAGUGGACUUAUCCGCAACACGAGGAUGACAAGAGUAAUGGAAAGGAAAAGAGGGAAGAGGAGGAAUCAUCGAAGGCGAUGGAGGUGGAGAUGGGGAAGACAUCGGUAAAGAAGGUGAAGACGAGGAAGGCAUCGGUGAUGAAGGUGGAGACUCAUGCGGCAAGGGAGAAGAAUCUGUGGGAGAGGACGGUGUCGAACCUGCAACGACGAGAGGAGGGGUAGAAAUAUGGGGCACAGAGGAAUGUGUAUCGGGAAAUGUGAGAAAAGAUAUGUCCUUCAUAAAAAAUAUCAAGGAGGAUGGACGCAGAUAGAAAGGGCGAGACUCGUCAAAGGUCACAUCCCCGAAAAUACGCAACCUGCGACCAACAGGAUCCCAAUACCAAUAACCCUUAUGAUAUCGAUGUAACUUAGAAAGACACACUCAACAGACAAAGCGGUCAGUUUGACGCAUUCACGUGGGGCAAUAAGAACAUAGGAAAUACAACUGAACAAAUGAAGUAUCAAAUAAUAGGAGAACGAUCAGAAAGACGAUCAAAAGGAAUACCAUCCUGCAGAGCGGUAGAUGGCUGAAUGUUGGUGAGAUAGGUGAAGGUGGAAAUAACCUGAACUCAAAAGUGAGGCGGAAGAGAGGCAUCAAUCAUCAUCACACGCGCCAUCUCAAAAAGGUGACGGUGCUUGUGCUCAGCCACACCAUUCUGAGUAUGAGCACCAUGACAAGAGAACUGGGAAAGAGUACCCAGUACAACAAAAAAUCCUUGCAACGAAUGAGAGAUAUACUCAUCAGCAGAAUCCGCAUGAAAACACGAAUAAGAAUUGAGAACUGGGUAUGAACCAUGGCAGCAAAAAAAUAUAGAUAAGACUUCAUUACAAAAACACAUGAAAUAGAUCCAAAUGUAGCAAGUAAAAUCAUCUAGAGAGUCGGACCCCCUUUUAUAGCGAAGGGAGUCGGACCCCAAAUUUAGUUGUGACUAAAGGGUUGUGGCGGACGAUGUUAGUGGCGACAACACUAUGACGUCUACCGAAAGGCCGUGUUCGCUGGGUGCCACAUCGGCUCGCUGACCGACAACCGUUUAAUGUUGAUGGUCAAAGACAGCAAGCAGCUAGACAUGUCUCGCACGUCUAGUGGGCAAUCGUUUCACCGAGGGGGCUAGACGUGCAUAUAAGAGCAUCUUCAGCCGUUCAGCGCCCUCAAGACUGAAAUAGCGCCUCCUGAGGGUUAGCCGUCACUAUUUUGGUUGUCGGGCUGUCGGGUUCCCAACCACCGCUCCAGGUCGGCCCCCAGACUCCAUUUAUUGAAUUGAAGUUCUGCUAAAAUUAGACGAGAACGACACGAAUUUGGCUAAAAUUCGGCGGGUUUCAUUCAUAUUCGGCGAUUUUCAUUCAUAUUUGUACAUAAUAAAAAGACAUAACAAAAACAUAAAAAAACUACGCCGCCCGCUACUGCCCGAGCCUUCUACAUGCCGAGGAGCUUGUAGAAGGCGGUGUAGUCACCGUCGUCGUUGUUGUCGUCGUCCUGCACGCCGCCACCGCUGUCUUUGCUGCACCCCUGGCCUGCGUCGCCGAUGCAAGCGGGGUUGGUCGGCGCCGGCGCCUCCUCGUCGCUGUCGUCGAUGACGACGACGCCGUCCUCGUCGCAGCCACGGCGUCGCGUGGCUAUCUCCUCCAGGGUGCGGCACUGGCGCUCCAUUUCCUCCCGGACGUAGUCCUGGCACGACCACGCCAGGCCGUCCUCCAGGUCGGCGGCCAUUGCCUCGUGCUCCUUCUUCAUGGGAAGGAGCGUCGGCUCGGUCUUCGACUUGAUGCGACGGGAGGAGGGAGGAGAAGGUACAUGGCCGCCCUCAUUGAUGGCGAGGGCGCCGCCGUGGGUGUGCUGCCCGAGUGGCGUCUCCCGCGGCUCCGGCUUGACGGGGAGGAGCGGCGACCCGGAGGAACGGGAGCCCGACGAGGACGACGCCGUCGUCUCCAUUCGCCUCGGCAUCCAUGAACUGUUGCGGCGGCAAGAGAAGGAGGGGGCCGCCUGUGAGGAAUCAAUGGAAGGCGACCAACGGCAGCCUUCGCAUUGAUUCCCGUGGGAAACCGAGGCGAUGAGAACGACAAAGGCGCCCAGUCGCUGACUCGGUGGGUCCACAUGAUUUCGCGUCAAAUUCGUGCCGGAUUCGGCCUUGAUCCGCCGGCGCCAAUUUCAGCCUUAACCGGCGAAAAUUGGUGUGCCCCCGGCUGCCGCUUGUGGAGAAUGAUACUCCUCCGUUGCUUUUGGGCCGCGACUAUUCCAUCACUCUGCCCUCACCAUCACCCGCGGUAGCCUUGUCUUCAGCACCAUCAUUGAGAUCGUCCUUGUCGCUCUAGCGGAUGGCAUAGUCAGUUGAAGAUUGAUAUUGAAUUUUUGGCCUGCCCCUGUUGUCUGUACUGAAUGCUGCACGCAUUCUCUGGAUGUGAACUUACGCCCAAUUCUUGAUCCUAUAAAGUCCAACUUGUCUGCAGCCCACAUGCAGGUUGAGAGUCACUGAGAAAGAUCAUGAUUUUGUGUGGAUAGAUGAUUUGCAAUACGAUGUAUUGAUCGGGGUGCUGGUGCACGUAUAUAUAAUACAAGGGAAGGCCUCUACCUCAACUAUACAAGACUAGGAGGUGGGCCACAACUUCAAUACACGUGCAAUACAAAAUAUAUACUCAACACCCCCCGCAGUCGAAGCGUCGCUGGAGACACAGAGACUGGACCGAAACUCCCCCAAGACGGGAGUAGGCAAUCCCUUAGUCAUCACAUCAGCAAACUGUUGCGUCGUCGGCACGUGGAGAACCCGAACACGGCCAAGGGCAACCUGCUCGCGCACGAAGUGAAUAUCGAGCUCAAUAUGUUUCGUCCGUCGAUAGUGCACCGGGUUGGCGGAGAGGUAGACCGCGCUGACGUUGUCGCAGUAGACAAGAGUGGCCUUGUGAACAUCACAAAGCAACUCCUGGAGCAGCUGACGUAUCCAAGAGCACUCGGCCACGGCAUUAGCCACGGCGCGAUACUCUGCCUCGGCGCUGGAGCGGGAGACCGUGGGCUGCCGCUUCGAUGACCAAGAGAUCAACGAGGGCCCAAGGUAGACGCAGUAGCCGGACGUAGAGCGUCGCGUGUCGGGGCAGCCAGCCCAGUCAGCAUCCGAGUAGUCCACGAGGUCGGUGGAGGCGGAGGCCGUCAGGGUGAGUCCCAAGGUCAUGGUGCCGCGUAUGUAACGAAGAAUACGCUUCACCAAAGUCCAGUGAGAGUCACGCGGGGAGUGCAUAUGGAGGCACACCUGCUGAACAGCGUACUGCAGGUCGGGGCGAGUCAGCGUCAAGUACUGUAAAGCACUGACGAUAGAGCGAUAAAACUCUCCAUCUGACGCGAGAGACCCCUCCAGAGCAGAGACCUUCGCCUUCGUGUCGACGGGGGUGGGCGCCGGCUUGCAAUUAAGCAUACCGGCAUGCUCAAGGAGCUUGUGGGCGUACUUCUGCUGAUGCAAAAAGAAACCGUCAGCCCGGCGGAUCACCUCGAUGCCGAGAAAGUAGUGCAGGGGCCCCAAGUCCUUGAGGGCGAACUCAUCACGAAGACGAGCAGUCAGCCGCUGAAGGAGAUCGGGGGCGGACGCCGUGAGGAUGAUGUCGUCGACGUAGAGCAGCAGAUAUGCAGUGCCAGCUCCCUGAUGAUACACACAGAGUGGGGCAUCGGAGCGAGUGGACCGAAAGCCCAGAGACUGCAGGAAGGCGGCGAUACGCUGGUACCAAGCCCGAGGCGCCUGCUUCAACCCGUAAAGAGAGCGGGAGAGCAAGCACACGAAGUCGGGGUGCUCGGCGUCGACGAAACCAGUGGGCUGCUCACAGAACACCUGCUCGACGAGAUGACCGUGCAAGAAGGCGUUGAAAACGUCCAACUGAUGCACAGGCCAGACGCGCGAGACAGCAAGCUGAAGGACGGCGCGGAUCGUGCCCAGUUUCACAACCGGGGCGAAGGUGUCGGUGAAGUCCACGCCCGCGCGUUGCCGAAAGCCACGAACCACCCAUCGAGCCUUGUAGCGCUCGAGAGAACCGUCCGGGCGAGUCUUGUGGCGAAACACCCACUUGCCAGAGAUGAUGUUGGCACGAGGGGGACACGGAACAAGCUGCCACGUGCGGUUGCGCCGCAAGGCGUCGAACUCCUCCUGCAUCGCAGCCAGCCAAUGGGGAUCCCGAAGGGCGGCACGAGCGGAGGUGGGGAUGGGUGAUGGCGUCGAUGUUGAGGCAGCGCACGCAUACUCGUCGGAGGAGUAGCGCGUGCUCGGCCGAUGCACUCCUACACGGGCACGGGUGACCGGGCCGGCGAGGGCGGCGGGUGCCGCGGCAGAGGGGGCCACAGCGGCGUNNNNNNNNNNNNNNNNNNNNNNNNNNNNNNNNNNNNNNNNNNNNNNNNNNNNNNNNNNNNNNNNNNNNNNNNNNNNNNNNNNNNNNNNNNNNNNNNNNNNNNNNNNNNNNNNNNNNNNNNNNNNNNNNNNNNNNNNNNNNNNNNNNNNNNNNNNNNNNNNNNNNNNNNNNNNNNNNNNNNNNNNNNNNNNNNNNNNNNNNNNNNNNNNNNNNNNNNNNNNNNNNNNNNNNNNNNNNNNNNNNNNNNNNNNNNNNNNNNNNNNNNNNNNNNNNNNNNNNNNNNNNNNNNNNNNNNNNNNNNNNNNNNNNNNNNNNNNNNNNNNNNNNNNNNNNNNNNNNNNNNNNNNNNNNNNNNNNNNNNNNNNNNNNNNNNNNNNNNNNNNNNNNNNNNNNNNNNNNNNNNNNNNNNNNNNNNNNNNNNNNNNNNNNNNNNNNNNNNNNNNNNNNNNNNNNNNNNNNNNNNNNNNNNNNNNNNNNNNNNNNNNNNNNNNNNNNNNNNNNNNNNNNNNNNNGGGGGGUGCCGCCGCGCAUCGCACCAGGUAGGGGGCGCGGGGGCGGAGCCGAAGGAGCCGCGGCCGGAGGAACCUGAAAAAAGGGAACACCGUCUCGACGAAGUACACGUGCCUCGAGGUGUACACACGAUGAGUGACAGGAUCAUUGCACCGGUAACCUUUGGUGUUGGGAGGGUAGCCAAGGAAGAUGCAUGGGACGGAGCUGGGUGCAAGCUUGUGUGGCGUGGUGGACGCGGUGCUAGGAUAACAGAGACACCCAAAUAUGCGAAGACCAUCAUAGGACGGUGGUGUACCGAAAAGAAGGUGGUGAGGGGCGUAGUUCCACCGGGGACGACACGGACGAAUGUUGACUAAGAGAGAGGCAGUGGCGAGGGCAUCGGGCCAGAACCGAGCGGGUACAUUAGCGUGAAAGAGCAACGUGCGAACGUAGUCAUUAAGAGUGCGGAGAAUGCGCUUGGUGCGGCCGUUCUGCUGUGAAGUGUAGGGGCAAGUCAGACGGAAGGUGGUGCCGUGUGAGGCGAGAAGGGAGCGAAGAGCGGCGUUGUCAAACUCUUUUCCGUUAUCAGUUUGGAGCGCAAGUAUGGGGCGACCGAACUGAGUGGUGACGUAGGAAUAAAAGGUGGUGAGUGUGGCUAAAGCAUCGGAUUUACGACGAAGAGGAAAGGUCCACACAUAAUGAGAAUAAUCAUCUAAAAUCACCAAAUAGUAUAGAUAGCCCGUAUUACUCGCAACGGGAGACGUCCAAACAUCACUAUGAAUCAACUGAAACGGAAAAGUGGAAACUGAAGUAGACGCAUUAAAGGGAAGACGCACGUGCUUGCCCAAACGACAAGCCUCACAAGUAUGCUCGUCGAGCUUAUUACAUGAGAAAGAAAAACUCCUAAUAAUCUGACGCAAAACGGCAGGGUUGGGGUGGCCCAAGCGAGCAUGCCAAAGGUCGACGCCGGCGGAGAGAGCGACGGGUGUGGAAGUGGAGGCGCCGCCGUGCAUGGGAUAAAGCUCGUCAAGGCUAUCACAUCGGUGAAGCACCAUCCGGGUACAGGCGUCCUUCGCAGAAAAACCAACACCGUCAAAUUCAACAGUAAGAGGAUUCUCACGAGUAAGACGACGAACAAAGACUAAGCUAGUGACUAAGUCAGGUGAAAUAAGAACGUUAGACAUAGUGAUAGGUGUGGAACUAGAAGGAAAACUAGUGCUACCGACAUGGAUGAUGGGUAAAGAGGAACCGUUGCCAACGGUGAUGCGAGUGAGAGUGUGAACGGGAGUGGAUGAGGAAAGGUUACCGGGAUGAGCUGCCAUGUGCGCAGUAGCACCCAAGUCCAUGUACCAGUCGCCUCCACCGCCAUAGUUGCUCGGCGACGGCGCCGAGUGGAGGGCGGCCAGGAGGGCUGGGUCCCACGGUGCAGGUGCCGGCGGUGGCAGCUGGCCUCCAUAGGGCGGCGCAUGGGCGGGCGCGCCGUAGCCACCGAGGGGUGGCGGCGCGAGCGGGGCACCGUAGGGCUGGUAGGGGGCGCCGACGAACGCCUGAUGGCCCGCUGGACGGGGGCCAAGGAGACCCGGUGCAGGAGCCCGCGGGACGGGCAUGUGAUAGGCGUGGAUGACGCCCGUCCACGGGUUCUGCCCGGCGGCCCACGGUGGAGGCGGCUGCUGGAAGUGGGGCGCCCCCCCUGCGCCCUGCGCCUGCUGCUGCUGCGGAUGCUACUGGCGGCGGCCCCCGCCACCCCGCUGGCUGCGCCGGCCCCCGCCACCUUGCGGCUGCUGGGGGGGNNNNNNNNNNNNNNNNNNNNNNNNNNNNNNNNNNNNNNNNNNNNNNNNNNNNNNNNNNNNNNNNNNNNNNNNNNNNNNNNNNNNNNNNNNNNNNNNNNNNNNNNNNNNNNNNNNNNNNNNNNNNNNNNNNNNNNNNNNNNNNNNNNNNNNNNNNNNNNNNNNNNNNNNNNNNNNNNNNNNNNNNNNNNNNNNNNNNNNNNNNNNNNNNNNNNNNNNNNNNNNNNNNNNNNNNNNNNNNNNNNNNNNNNNNNNNNNNNNNNNNNNNNNNNNNNNNNNNNNNNNNNNNNNNNNNNNNNNNNNNNNNNNNNNNNNNNNNNNNNNNNNNNNNNNNNNNNNNNNNNNNNNNNNNNNNNNNNNNNNNNNNNNNNNNNNNNNNNNNNNNNNGGGUAGUAGCCGGCGGGUGCUGGCGGCGCGGACUGGCGAGGGGCGGCCGGAGGAGCAGGGCCGCCGCGGGUGGUACCGGCGGCGAGAGCGGUGUGCUGGACCCGCUGCUUUAGCUUCGUCAUCCGGCGCUCCUCAAGUUUGAGGUACGCGACGAUGCGCUGGAAAGUGGGUUGCGGCAGCAGGGUGAGGUUGGACGCCGCAUUGCCGAAGUCCUCAUUAAGCCCGGCGGUGAGGGUGCUCAGCAUGAGGUCGUCAGAGACCUUAGCGCCGAUGUCGCGAAGCUCGUCGGCGAGCAUCUUGAGCCUCAUGCAGUACUCAUCGAUGGUGGAGUUGUCCUGGUGACAGCCGAAGAACUCCUGCUGCAAGAAAACAAGGCGCUGGAGUUUGUUGUCGGUGAAGAGCGCGUUGAUCUUGGCCACACGGUGCAGGCGUCGUCGACUCGUCGUCCUCGGCGACGACCAUGUGGAAGAUGUCCUUCGAGACCGUCUGGUAGAACCAACGGAUGAUCGUGGCCUCGAUGGCGGACCACUCCGGGUCGCCACGCAUGUACGCGCUGUCCACGGAACCGUCGAUAUGCUCGGUGAAAUAGUACUCGCGAAAGACGAGGUUGAAGUAGGUCUUCCACGCGUAGUACGACGUGCUGGAGCUGUCGAGACGGAUGGGGACCCGGGCCUCAAUAUUGAGGUCACGGAUAACGGCGGUGGAGGGCUCGGGACCAGCGAACGGAUUGGACGAGUGGGUGGUGGAGGAGCCGGGGGAGGAAGGCCAUGGCGACGGCGUGCAGGUGCGGGAUAGCGGCUAGGGUUUUGGGGAGAAUGUGACAGCAACAACGGGACGGCUGCAGCGAAAGACGGGCGCGGCGGCAGAAGAGAGCGGCGUGCGGGUGGGAAGGAAGGAGGCGGCUGCAGCGGUACGAGACGCGGGCGGCGUGCAGCGGCACUUGGUGCGGAGCAGCGUGCAGUGAAGCAAGGCGCUGGCGUACGGCCGUACGAGGAGUGAAGUCUGAAAUAAAUCUUGACAUUGUACAAACCGGCGUUAAUAAACCCUUACCUUUAAAUCUUUGAAGGUGAUACCCUGUAUUUACAGAUCCCGGUCAAUCCAAACCCUAUACGAGUAAAAUCUUGUUUGCUGUGAUGGGAAAGGCACAAUCCCAAUCGGGAUUGAUUUCUAUUGUCACUUACAACAUGGGCCCACAUGUCCUUUGCAUCUCCUUAGCGAUGAGCACGACCACGGUGUCCAUUGACGGAGUGUUGCCACUGUCGAGUCAGAAAAGACAAGAAAAAUAUGAUGCAUCACAAGGGCCUGUACGUGCGUGUCUUCCGACGGAACUUCAAUCCUCAGUCCGUGCUCGUCGACAUCGUCGUGAAUACAAAAAAAAGCUCAGGUGGCUGUGGUCGUUGUCACCCGUGCCGCGUGUGCCCACAGCCCAGGCCUGCUGAGCUGCACCGGGAGGCGGCCAUGGCGACAUGCUCAAGCCAGUGCGGCGUCGGGAGCAGGGAUAGCAGCGCGGUAGCGAGAUGGGGUUCUUGACGUAGCUCGAGACCCAGCCCAGAGCGUCGCCGUGUACGCGCGCUGCAACUCAGCAUAGGCCUCCAGCGCCACGCACCAGCCGCAAUGCUCUAACACGAGUGCCCACCGCGGUGGCUGCGUGCAUCGGUCCAGGCAACUGCGGCACACACUUGUUGCCUCACCUCCGAGAGCUGCGGAAGGAGCUCGUCGUCGCGGAUGAGCUACGCAAGAUGCGGCAGGGGUUUCGCGUUGAGGACGGCAGCGACCCUCCGAGACAUGGCGUCAACGGAGCCGAGGGAGAUGUUGAGCAUGGUCCGGUGAUCCCUGGCGGCGGCCUUGGUCCUCUUGAUGGCAAACAGAUCCUCGCCGUUGGCGUCCAGGCUCCUCAGCUGCCUUGGCUUUCAUCCACACGGCUGCCAUCGCCAUCAUGGCCUUCGUGCUCACCAUAUGGCAGCAGGCUCGCCCCGGCUGCAUCUCCUCCCGCCGAUGCGUCAUGCAAGCCGCAGCUCGCCAACUCGCUGCCACCUUUCCAGGACCAUCUACCCCGAUAGCCAUUGAUGUAUCUAUACGGGAAGAACAGGAGGAGAUAGGUGGGAGCGAGGAAGAAGAUGGCUUAAGCUUGACAUCGCACAACAAUGAGAAAAGCAAGUUCCCGGUCAGGAUUGCGCUUUUUCCGGCGUGCCAAACGUAUUUAGGGUCGGGAUAGACCGGGAUCAAAGAGGUCAGGGUAUCAAUUUCAGGGAUUUGAAGGUGAGGGUUCAUCUGCGCCGGCCUCUACAAUCUCAAGGUUUAUUUCAGACUUCACUCCCGUACGAGACAAGGCGCUAGCCUACGGCGGAGCAGCGUGCAGCAAAACAAGGCACGGGCAUGCAGCGGCUCUUGGCGCCUAGCGGCGUGCAGCGGCGUGUGAUGCGCAGGCUGCAGCGGCGCGGUACGCGCGAGUGAAAGCGGCGCGGUACGCGCGGGCGGAAGCGGGUUGUGGGGCGCGGCGGCGGCGGCGGCGGCUACCCUAGGGUUAGAUCGAAAAAGAUGAUACCAUGUGGAUAGAUAAUUUGCAAUAUGAUGUAUUGAUAGGGGUGCUGGUGCACGUAUAUAUAAUACAAGGGAAGGCCUCUACCUCAACUAUACAAGACUAGGAAGUGGGCCACAAUUCCAAUACACGUGUAAUACAAAAUAUAUACUCAACAAUUUGGAUGCCCACACGGUUUAGGCAAUGUCCACACAAAUUCGAGAGCCUAGCUUAAACUUUCCUGAAUAAAUUUACUUCAAAAAUAUAUACAAGUCCUGGAGUGAACCCACGGACAAAUUCAGAUCCUGUAUGGUCCAACUUGUCUGCGCAUCAAGCAAAUAGCUUCUUCUUCUUCUUGACUGGAAAACAGAUUGAGAGAAACUGAAUCUUGGGAAGCGGCACGGCUUAGAUUGUAUCCACAUAAAAACCAAGCAACUAGUUUUUUUGUUGUUGAGAAAAUCAAGCAACUAGCUACCUUUGUCCAUCAUAGUCUGUAACCAAAAACGUGUUAUAGAGCUAAAUCUCAGGAAAAAUGCACACAUUUAUCUAAACUAAAUUUCAGUAGUUUUGAAUCCUACAAACCAAACAAAUGGAAAUUUCAGAAAAUUCUGUGGAACUCCUUUGAGCGAAAGAGGCCCUUUAAGACAGUGAUCUAAACGCUCUUAUAUUAGUUUACAGAGGGAGUACAAACAAGUCUUUGAUCGAGUGAACUUACGCACAAAUUCAGUUCCUAUAAAUUCCAUCUUUGCAGCACGUCACAUGGGAUUUCGAUGUGCAAUACAAGUCUUGGAAUGCCGACACUUAAUUAGACGAUGUCCACACAGAUUCGAGUAGCUGGCUUAUCCAUCUAUAGCCUGUAUUAUUCUAUCUAUAAAGACUCUAGCUAGCCACUCGUUCCCUCAUCACAAAAGGAAAGGUAGCACUAUUCCACCCAAAACCCAGCUGUUAACAGCGAGCAAUGGACCAUGCAACCGGUGCCAUGGGCAGCCUAAUCCUCAAGCUUGGCGAACUCCUCAAGGAGGAGUACAACCUGCAGAGAAGCGUCAAGGAAGGUGUCCAGUAUCUUGAGAGAGAGCUGAAGAGCAUGCAAGCUGCCCUCUGCAAGGUCGGGGAUGUGCCACGGGACCAGCUCGACGAGCAGGUCAAGCUCUGGGCCAACGAGGUCAGAGACCUUUCAUAUGGAAUGGAGGAUAUCAUCGACAAGUUCAUGGUACGUGUUGAGGGCCCUGAGCCUGAUGACAAACAACACAAGCUCAAACAGCUCAUGAAGAAGAUGGGCGAUUUGUUCACGAAGGGCAAGACACGCCAUUGUAUCGGAAAAGAGAUCAAACGCAUCAAAGCCGGCAUCCAGGAGGUGGCUGAUCAGCGUGAUAGAUACAGGGUCCACGAGAUCAAUGACGUGGUUGCUAAUCCAACUGGUGCAACCACGGUCGACCCUCGCCUGUUGGCUCUCUACAAGGAUAGGAAAGAGCUUGUUGGCAUUGAUGAUUCAUUGAGUGAGCUAACCAAGAUGCUGAGCAUCGAGGAUGGUGAUGUGUCCAAGCAACUCAAGAUACUCUCUGUUUUCGGAUUUGGAGGUCUUGGCAAGACAACUCUUGCCAAAGCAGUGUAUGAUAUGCUCAAAGCGCAGUUUGAUUGCAGCGCUUUUGUUCCAGUAGGACGGAACCCUAGCAUGAAGAAACUUUUCAAUGACAUUCUCUUUGGAAUUGACAAGCAAAAACAUCAGGAUUCUAUUUUAUCAUCGUGGGAUGAAAGGCAGCUGAUCGACGAACUCCAAGUAUUACUGGAGAACAAGAGGUAUGCACCCUAUUAUGUAAAGUAGUGAUUUAAGUGCUCUUAAAUUUCUUUACGGAGAGAGUAGUUUCAUAUAGUUUAAGUAGCAAUAAGAAAAUUUAUCGGAGUGAAUGGAAGGCAGCUGAUUGAUGAACUGAACUCCGAGAAAAAGAGGGAAAAAAUGGGAAAACAUAGUGUCAUAUACGUCAAGUAGUAAAUGGGAUAAAAAAACUGCGAAACUUUAGCGGGUCGAAUGAAAGGCAGCUGAUCGAUGACACCUAUUAUGUCAUAUAGGUAGUAAGUGGGAAAAUAGCGUCAAGCCCUAGAAAAACUGAGUUAGGGAUGAGUGGAAAAUUCUAUUUGAGAUAUUUUACAUGGCGGGUUUGCAUGGCCUAUGGUCGUUCUUGUAUAUUUUACAAAAGACUGUAUUUUUUGUCGGGAAUAAUGCAUAAUAUUAAGUUUUCCUACCUUCUUUAGGUUGGGACUUACCUUUGAACGUUCGUCCACGUUCAUAUAUUAUAGAACUUCCUCUUAGUAGAUGCCAAUUCCAAAAAAAAAACUAAUUAAUUAAAGUAUAUAGACGCGGAAAUUUUGUCAAUAAAAAAUAUAGUUAUGAACGAUGAAAUGGAAUCAAACUCUACUGGUGGUGUGGCUCUCUCCUGUGCAGUGGUGGAGCGUGAAGCAAAUUUUAGGAGGGGCGAGAUGAGUGUAUGACAUAGAGAAAGAUAUGGUAGUCAGAGACGCCGGAGAAUUAGCAUAGCGAUUAAUAGAAAUACAAGCCUAUUUGGCAAAAAAAAAAUCUAGGAAGGGGCUGCCAGGGCCCGGAUUAGGGCAUGUACAAUGGUUGAUAAGAUAGUCUUAUCUUAAGUCUUGCAUGUAAUUUAAAGAUGACAAAAAAAAAUGUCUACAAUGGAUCAUUUCUUAGCCUUAUCUUCUAUUCCUAAAAACGUGGUGAGACAUAUUGUGCUAAGAGAUCAUCUCUUAUCUUCUCUUCAAUAAGAGAAGACAAACAUUUUCUUAUGAGUUCUCUCUCCUCCACCUCAUUUUUUAUCCUAUGUGGCACUACUAAGAUAGCAUCAUUGUACAUGCCCUUAGUCCCGCCGAUGCUCCGCCAAUGCUCCUGUGCCCCUCCAUUUCCUUAAUUCAAUAAUGCCAAUUCUAGAUUCCCUAAUGAGGUUGACAUUCACGCAUCCUCUUUUUAAAGAUAUUUUGCACACUUAGAGCCUUAACAAAUAUUUUUCACUAAUUUGGGACAUCUCUUGCAAUAUGGAUGGCAAUGACAGAUACUUGAUUGUCAUUGAUGACAUAUGGGAUAAAAAAACAUGGGAAUUAGUCAAGACUGCUUUGGUGUGUAAUAACCGUGGAAACAGGAUAAUCACAACAACACGUAUACUUGAAGUUGCUACAAUUACUGGUGAAGUAUACUAGCUACAACCACUUUCCCCUUAUUUAUCUAAGGAUUUAUUUCAUAGAAGAUUAAUUGGUGGUGAAAUAGAACAACCUAAUCAUCUGCCAGCAGAGGCAUAUGAUAAAAUUUUACAUAAAUGUGGGGGUGUACUGUUGGCUAUAAUCACAAUAGCUAGUUUGCUCGUCAAUAAACGAGUGGAGCUUUGGUCUAAGGUAUACACCUCAAUCGGUUUUUGGCAUGAAGAGAAUGAAGACGUGGAGAACACAAGAAAAAUACUUUUACAUAGCUAUUAUGAUCUACCUUAUCACCUAAAGACUUGCUUAUUAUAUCUGAGCAUAUAUCCUGAAGAUCAUUUUAUUGAAAAAGGUAGUUUGAUAUGGAAGUGGGUUGGCGAAGGUUUUAUCCAUGAGGAACCAGGUGUGGGACUAUUCGAGAUUGGUGAGAGGUACUUCAAUGAGCUGGUGAAAAAAAGCAUGAUAAUGCCGGUAGAGAGCCCACAUGAUGGCAUCAUAACUGGAUGUCAUGUCCAUGACAUAAUGUUUGAUAUGAUAUGUCUACUAUCAAAGGAAGAAAACUUUGUUACGGUAUUGGGUAGUAACGAGAAAUAUACAACUUCACAUUGCAAUGCUCGUAGGCUAGCUAUUCAUCGAGGAUUCCAACCUCUGGCUAGCACGUCUACAUUUCAAGCAAGGUCACUUAAUGCCAUGUGCAAUGCUAAUUUGUUGCCAUCACUUUCAUGCUUUGAAGUUUUGCGUGUCCUAGUUUUGGAAAGCCCCUCUAAUAGGCACAAUCCCGAUUCUUAUGAGCAUAAUGGGAAGUUAGUCCACUUGAGGUAUCUCAAACUAGCGAACAUACAUAUCUCUGAGCUCCCAGAGGAAAUAGGAGAGCUAAAGUUCUUGCUGGUACUAGACUUGAGUGCAAAAGGGAUAAAUAAACUUCCAGAGAGUAUUGGUCUACUGAGUCAACUCAAGUGCUUGAAUAUCUGCAGAACAAACAUUGAAGUGCCAUCCUGGAUCGGAAAUUUGACGUCGCUGGAAGAGCUAUGCCUGAAUGGAGUUGAGAAGCACUCGAACUUCGUGACAGAGCUGGGCAAGUUGACAGAGUUGAGGAAGCUCCGCGUGUCUGAUGUUUUAUAUUUAGAUAGUGUUGGCACAAUGAAUGCUUGGGCGGAGUCUGUAGCUAAGCUGAAUAAGAUUGAAGUCAUAGACAUUCAGUUUAUUUUCUCAGUUAGAACUUCUGGCCAUGAGACCCCCUGGGAAUGGAAGGUCCUCCCUCCACAACUCCGUGUCCUACGCAUGGCCUACCUAGAACCUGAGCUGGUAGCAAGGAUCAAUCCCUCGCUUCUUCCGAACAUGUCCCAUUUAGAACUAUUUGUAUACAGUCCAGAACUGGAGGUCUUUGGAAGUUUCCAAGAGCUUGUUGCCCUCGAGCUGUUCAUCGGUCCAUCAGCUCUCCACCAUGACACCAUGGGCGGUAUAGGUGCGUUCCCCAAACUGAGGGUCUUCAAGACACAAUCAACGAUUGGCUCGUUCGUAGAGGGAGAUAUGCCAGUCCUUGAAUAUCUUGAGUUCCACACCGUAGCACAGUCCAAUGAUGACGACAUUAGCUUUGACUUUGACUUUGGUAGCCUAGAAAACCUCCCUUUGCUUCAACACGUCUCGGUCCUUGUAUCUACCCCUGAGGCGGACCGCGAGAAGGCUGAGGAAACGGUGAGGCAUGCAACUGAUAUGCUUCCCAACCAUGUCAACCUUCGAUUCACAAUAGCUGAGGCAGCUCUGCAUAUUAUGCUGAGGUGUGUACUUAUCUCUAUUACUAGUAUAGAUGUCCACGGGCAGCUAGCCAGCUAUCUUAUGUAUAUCUUUUUCCAGAGACCUCAGAAACCGGAUAAUCAGUUAGCCAUGUAUCUAGCGUAUCGCGAUCUCCACCUAUCCAAGGUACGUACGCUCCCUAUCUAAGUAUUUAUCUGCACCUUCUCUAUCUUUUAUUUCUAGAGUAAAUAACCACAAUUGCCGAUCAAUUGUAUGGGGCAUAGCAAUUGCUAAUCUGCACCACACGCGAUACAUAUAUUGCUCUCUUUCUUAUCAUUUUAAAUAGAGACCAUGCAUACUCCACAUAUAUGUUUUCUGAGAGUUACUUCAUACUUGUAGGCUGGAAGCGUUAACAAAUCACCACGGAAAAAGAAAUGAUAGCGGGAGGCUUCCGUUUGUUUGCUCUAUGUUACUAUGUAUUGUCUUUCGUAGCAAAGGAAAUAAUCACAAACAAAAAAACUUUACUUUGUUUUCUUUUGUAGCAAAGAACAAAAAAUCACACAAAGCCAAAAAGAAAGUGUUAUCUUGCUAUGUUUUCUUUUGUAGUGAAUGAAAAAAUCACACAAAAAAGGUUUGUUCAUUUGUUUUACUGUCUUUCAUAGUAAAGGAAAAAUGAAAAUCACAAAAAAACAUUUACUUUGUGGAUUACUAGUCUGUUGCUCGGUUGUCUACUUAUAGGAAGAAAACACUCCAAAAAAGUUGUUGGGUUCUCGUGCCAUUUUGUGCGUGUGUAGGUGUGUGUGUUCGGGGGCGGGGGCUUCCUUUUUGUGUAUUGGUUAAGAGGCCAAGUAUGUGUUAAUGUGUUUUCUCCUUUUUUGGGGGUGGUGUGGUGUGUGUGNNNNNNNNNNNNNNNNNNNNNNNNNNNNNNNNNNNNNNNNNNNNNNNNNNNNNNNNNNNNNNNNNNNNNNNNNNNNNNNNNNNNNNNNNNNNNNNNNNNNNNNNNNNNNNNNNNNNNNNNNNNNNNNNNNNNNNNNNNNNNNNNNNNNNNNNNNNNNNNNNNNNNNNNNNNNNNNNNNNNNNNNNNNNNNNNNNNNNNNNNNNNNNNNNNNNNNNNNNNNNNNNNNNNNNNNNNNNNNNNNNNNNNNNNNNNNNNNNNNNNNNNNNNNNNNNNNNNNNNNNNNNNNNNNNNNNNNNNNNNNNNNNNNNNNNNNNNNNNNNNNNNNNNNNNNNNNNNCUCCGCCUAUGCUAAUAUCUUCGCAUAGCCGGUCCCAAGCCCGGAAGAAGGAGGAGGGGCCAAGCAUUAACUUUCUUACAGGUCAUUUGUAGCUUUUGCUCUUAUUUCUUCGUUUUCUUAUUCAAGUACUCCCUCCGUCCAAGUAUGCUAAUAAGUGUCGCAACUUUAUACUGGCUCUAGUACAAAGUGGUACUAAGCUUGAGACAGUUAUUUUGGGACGGAGGGAGUAUAUAACAGUGUGGUUGAGCAUAUAUGGUUUCCUUCAUUUUGUCCAAGUAUGUAAUUUCAUGGUUCCAAAUAUGGUGGUUCACUUUUGGCUAAGUUUGAACAAUGGCUGGGGUUUACUAAUGCUUCUGGCAUUGAUAAUAGCAAUUUGUAUUUUUGGCCGAUGUUGGGUUAGUAAAUUAACAUAUAUCUUGCUUGUAAAAUUUUAGUGGUGAAAUCGAUCGACCUGAAGAUGUUUAUUUCCUCACCUAGAGUUGGUACAGGGUAAGCAAUGUCCCUGGGCUGGGGCUUACCAAUGCUUCUGGCGAAGAAAAAGGUGCCCCAGCCCAUUUUAUUCAGGUAAAGGCACAUGUAUCAUGCAUUUUCUUUUCGAAAAAAGAACAGGUAUCAUGCUUUCCGGUUCAGUUUUUUAGCUCACUAGAUGCACCUGACUUGUUUGCAUGCUGCAGCAAAAUGAAUUUCUGUGAAUCCAAAUUCUGGGUCGAUGGAGCUGGUAUGUGUUUGCAUUUGUUUUACCAUCCUUUAGUAUUGAUUUCUUGAGCUAGUACUUUUUAUGAUGCUCGGUGUAUUGCUGCCUUCGGCCUUUUAAGUAUAGUUCUUUUUUGAUACAUGUUCUUGAGUGAGUUUAAAACACAUCCCAAUUUUAUCAAAAAGCAAAAUAAUUUUUUUAUGAUUGUAAUUAUGAUUAUACACAUGAGAAAUCAAAAUAAGCAUCUUUGACCUUCAGUUUGUUCAGUUUAUGUCUUCUGGAUCAAGCAUAUUCCAUGAAUCCCCCAGGAUGAUGUUUUCUAGGCUAUGCAGUACUCAAAUAACUACUCCCUCCGUCCCAUAAUAUAAGAGCGUUUUUGACACUACUCUUAUAUUAUGGGACGGAGGGAGUACAUAGUAUCUUUUCAUCUAAAUGAACAAGUGGAUAUUUUGUACCCAGUAGAUCAACCUGCCUUUUCAUCUAAAUGAACAAGUGGAUAUCUUGUAUCGAGUAGAUGAACGACAUAAUAUCUUUCCACUGUAUUGUUUGAUCAAAUCCUCCAAAAUGCAUACAUUGCACCAAUGAAUCUUGGUAUUUUUGAAAUACUUUCAUCUGACUCAAAAAGGAAAAGGAUAAAUGAGCUCUUCGGACUAAAAUGAUUUUUUUCCUGUUCUUUACUUGGCUGCAGCUGUUCUUGCUAAGGGGAAGUUCAGUUUGUAUGCCCACCUUGUAGUGUCUACUCUAUACUUCAGAGAGUACGUGAUUCAGUUCAAAUUCCAAGCCUUAACCCCUUCCUUCUACUCCCUCUGUUCCUAAAUAUUUGUCUUUCUAGAGAUUCUAUCAAGUGACUACAUACAGAGCAAAAUAAGUGAAUCUACACUCUAAAAUAUGUCUAUAUACAUUCAUAUGUGGUAGUCCAUUUGAAAUCUCUAAAAAGACAAAUAUUUAGGAACGGAGGGAGUAGAAUUAUACUGCUAUCUUAAAUGUAGAUGAUGACAAAAACAAUGGUUAGAUGUGCUGAAUGCUUGUAAUAAAGAAAUGGGAAGAAUAGGAAUAGGGAAGGAAAAGAAUUAUUCCAUGGACAGAAACAUAUGCAUAUCUCAGUGAUUUGGCAACCUCAAUCGGAUGUCUCGCUACCAGGAUUCGAGUAAAGUCUGUUCAUAUCUCAAUGGUACUUACUAGUCUCUUGUAUAUAGAAUCAUCAUGGCUCACUUAAUUAUGCCCUUUUUUCAGGCACAUCCCUAGUAAAAGAAACAUAUGCGAGUGGAUGCUACUAAGAAGUUUCAGAACACACCACUCCUCUGUUCAUUUUUAUAAGACGUUUAGAAAAUUCAGACGGCACCCAGAACAGUUCAAUGUCAGCUGUCCAAAACGUCUUAUAAAAAAAGAGUGGAGGGAGUAUCUGAAAUGAUACAGUGUUUCUUUUUCUUCCUACUGACUACAAAAUGGCAUCGCCCAAUCUUUGCGCGUGGAACCUGCAAGCAUGUUGACAAAUCAUCUUAUGCGUACAGACCUGCAAGUUAUCUUGGUGCUGCUGCCUUGUUAUGGACUAUUUGCAAAACAAGGAACAAAUCCUGUUUUCAAUGUGUGCUUCCUACUGAACCUACUAAUGCAAUUUUUACUAUGUGCUCUUUGCUGGACUCCUGGACUGCUCCACAGAAAAAAGGGAUGCAAAGAAUGCUCAGUGAAGUAGUAUCUAAAAGGCUGUCCGAGGUGGCGCGGGAUGCUUUCAGAAGGUCGCCCUUCUUCCCAAUGACGAUGACUGGUCGGUAAGUUUGAUGUACGAGGGAAUGGCUGCAGCGGGCGUUUGCUUGAUUCGUGCUGCGGCAGGUUUAGAUUAGAACCAGAUUUGAAUCCAAGAACAAACUAAUUGCAACUGCGCAAGAUUUUGGUAUCUAAGGAAUCUGAACCCAACAACUCUCUGACAGUAACUCUCAUCCAAUGCAAGCACAAUUCCGGCACAAUUCUUACAGUGGGACAACAUGGUCAGAACACACGCCAGCAUGCAUGUAAUUAUACAGAGCCUGAAAGUUGAAACGAGCGCAAGAAGCAGCAGCAGCCAAGCCUAGGACGACUCUGAAGCUGCUACCGCAGUCUGAGUCUGAAGCAGCAGCUGCCAAGUUUUCUUCAGUUGACAGCGGCAAGGCAAUAACACAAAGAAGAAUCGCUCUAUCUUGUUUAGUAGCAGCACAAUUGGACAGUAGUAACUCACAUUUCACUUUCCGCAAAAACAACUUGCAUUUGCCAUUCAGUUCCAAGUACUACCUAGUACUGUAAAAACCAAAUCACCAACACAGAAAUGCACCGUCAUUUCUAAAUCAUCACAGAAUUCAGUUCUUCCGAGCCAACCAAGUGUCAACGGGCAUUCGGCAACUCCCAUAAAUUAACAGUGAUGUAGCACUACUCACAGAUAAUAACACGAUAUAACCAACUAAAAUUCAAUUUCAGAAGAGUAGACAAGCAAACAUCAGUCAGACCAUCACUGAUACAGAUAUAGUACCACCACAAGUUCAGUUCUAGAUAGAUAUAUCAGUCUGCCAAACACAACAACUUCAGUUCUUACAACCAAUUAAUUAGCCAACAAAGCGUUGGCGAUCACCCAGCAGACUACCAGCACUACUUGCAGAGAGACAAGCAGAGUCGACAGUACAGGUGCAGAUACAGAGACCAACUACAGGCGACGGACGCAUCUUCAGUCUAU